rnacentral:lncRNA from 1 species
UAGAACUUAAGGUAUCUGCUGGUGAAGCUUGCAUACCAAACACUACAGGUUGAGGAUUUUGAGUAGCCAGAUAGACUCAUCAGAUUCAAGAUGGAUAACACUGACUACUCCAUGAGUCUAGAAAAUAUAAAGCGCUUGUCAAAAACAGAAAGCAAAUUCAUUACUUCCUAUGGAUUGGAAAAAUCAAAGGAGCAUACUAGAGAAGAAAUCCCGGAGGAGUAUUUAUCAAUGAUGAAUCAGAAAGACUUUACCAUGAGGAAUUGGUCACCAGAUAGAGCACAUGAAACUGGUGGGGCAUGCUAUAAACUAUGUCCUGUGGACCAUGAGAAAGAAAGAAGGCACCUUAAGCUGUGAGAGUUACUCAAAAUUUACAAGAGAGAAUUCAUCAAUGUCCCAGAACUGAUAGAGGAGAAUUCCUGAAAUUCUAUGAUAACAAGUGUUCACAAUAGGGUGGGAAAAGGUAGGAAAGUGAAGCUGAAAAUGCCUAGAUUCCUCACAACCUUCCUCAUGUACAAGAAACACACUAUCUCACCAAAUGAUAUUAAGGAUGAGAGCUUGGAUGUUUCUUUGGCAAGGGUUAAGAGAAGAACACUUCCAAGGUGGAUGCUACUUCUCCUGCUUUCUUCUGCUCAGAUAACAAAGAAAGUCUCAUUCAAAGUCGGGAGCUCUUUUCUAAGUAUUUGAACUCUAACUUGGUCAAACUCAGCAUUGAAACCACUAAAAAAUCAUAGACUCAAUCCUUUUCAAUAUAAUUCUUUAAGAUUGUUGCAUCCUCAGAACUCUGUAUCUCAAUGCAUCGAUAAUGAUCAAGUUCUUGUCAUAGAAUUUUCAACAUAUUUGGAUACUCCAUGACUGUCUUGUUUCCCUAUUUUAUCACUCUAGUCUUAACUUUUAUUUUGUACACAUAGACUGCAUGUAGUGUCUUCGAGUAUGUCUAGUGAACUACAUCCUAAAUGUCUAUAGCAGUUGUCAAGAACAUACACAUCUUAUUUUAACCAUCAUUGAGUUCCACAAAUAUACCAUAAUCAUUGAGUUUUGUUCAUCUUAGGUAUCAAACUAAGGGUCUCCUCUCUCUAGUCCAGUUCCCAGAAGAUGACUUGAUUCCCCUUUUCCCUUCAGAAAAGGAAGGGAAUAAGUUGUGACUAUUUUAAAUAAUUCUUCCCAUUAUGCUUGUAUUUCACUUGAAUAUUCUGUAAUUCUCUGGUAUUGUGACUGGUUUCUUCAAAUUGAGCAGUCAUAAUGAUAGUUUCUGAUAAUUCUAACAUGGUUCUUGAAGAUUAAGUAACUCACUAAAGACUGUUUCUAGGACUUAGACCCAUGUUAAAGCUCACAUUGGUGUCGAUGUGGGAUAGUAGUGACCAUAGCAAUGGUGUUAGUGUUGGAAUUUUUAUGUGUGGACUUACAUAAUCAAUUUGAUAAUGCCAUAAAUCAGUGUUAAUUUAAUUUUUGCAUUAUGGUCCAUAAUGGGUUGGACACAUUAUUGCUUGAUUUCUAUGGGCUCACCCUAAUUCACUUAAUUGGCUCAUUAAGUUAAGUGGUCCAAACUGUGUAUGUGUGAUAUGUAAUAUAUAUAUAUAUAUAUAUAUAUAAGGGAAAAAAGGCAAGUUGUUGUUCUAUCCUGUUUUGUUUUUCUCUUGGUAUUAAGAAGAGCACGUAUUACACGAACUCCUCAGAGCACACACAGAUUGUUUUGGGCAUAGAAAGGGAAGAUCCAAUUGAACCCGGGGUUUCUCUCCAUCACGAAUUGAUCAUAUCCUUGAACACCAGAAGAGCAUAGGAAUGGCUUUCCAUGGGAUCAAUCAAGGUCAGCUUUUCUUAAUUCCCAAUUUUUAUUGUAUGCUUUAAUGUCCACAUGAGAUCCUGUUUAUGGUUUAAUUUUUCAACAGUUAGAGGUUUGGCACUCUCGAUCAUCACAGAAGUAGCAUUAGAGGUCUGGCACCCUUGAUUGCUAACAAUAUCAACGGCGAAAUAGGAACAAGGGUCAUCUGUUGCUCUCACAAUGAAUUUGCAAUCCAUGUUUGCAACAAUGGAGAGACAAAGAUGCAGUGUAAGGCGGAGAUGAAAGAUGACACAAGGGAGACAAAGGCAUGAGGGUUGUCAUUGCUGGUAGAGAUGACAGCAAGGGCGUUGGUGAUAGCAUGAUUUUUGUUUUGUGAUGAGUUCGUAAGAGUGACAACACAGUAACAGUGUGAAGACAAUAGUGUAAGGACAAGCGUGUUGACAACGAUGUGAUGAGUUUCUGAUCUGAAUUUGCUACAAUGGCUUAAAUCAAACAAGAGGAAACCUUAAGGUCAACUAUAGUCUUCAACUCGGCAAUGAAGGCCAAAGAAAAAAUUCUUCUCUUCCCAGAUUUACGACCCUAAAGCUCUUAUACCAUGUGGAAGAAGAGAGAUUGGAAAUAAUGAAAGGUAUAAAAUUCUUCCUUUAUUUUUAGCCUGUACAUAUACCCACAUAUAUAUACAAAAAUUCCUAACACCAAAAACAUGAACUUUUCUAACCUAAUUACAUCAAAUCCCUUUUAUUAUGGGAUUGCCUAAUUCUCUCCUCAAUUACAAAAUUAUGAUUUUCCUAAAUUUAUUCUUUAACAGUAUCAAGUUCUAGAAAAUGGAAUUAGUUCAAAAUGUUGAAGGAAAUUGUAUAAGAAUAAGUGACAAUAGAGGAUGUUCUUAAUUAUGAGUUCGGAUUUGAGACUGAGCUCCCUUGACCAAUGUCUAAUCCUUUAGAUAUAGUUGGCAUAUCUAAGCUCCCACUGGUGCUAUAUUGUGGAGGAGUUGAAAAUGACUUGAAGAAAGUUGAAAUGUAACAUGUCUUGGUGGAAGAGGCAAUCAUGCACUUUCAGAUUUUGAGACCGGAACUACAUAGACAAGAACAUCUAAUGGAAUUUCAUAGACAUGUCUUUUUACUUCUUUCCACUGAGGACAAUGUCAAUCAUUGGUGGGGAUAAUGAGGGUUGAGCAAUCAACUUUCCAAAAUUUUCAAACUUUGAGUAUGCCUAGAAUGAGUAAGGGAGAAUCAAUUUUUCACCUAAGGAUUUUUUUUGGUUAGUUGAUAAGCACAAUAGCUCACUUAUUAGAGGUCUUCAUUAGAUUAUGAAAUGAUAAUUGCAAGGCUUAAUAAGGAGUAUGGUCUACAUUUAACUACUUAUAAUUUAUAUUUUGUUCUCUCAAGACUAUGCACACUAGGUCCUAUGAGGUGCUUGGUAGUAGGUAGGUCUUAAAAGGUGCUUCAUCACUUAGUACCCAAUUGGUUUGAGAGUUGUAGGCUGAAAAACCUUUCAAAAAGAAAUGUUCUUGAAUAAGAACAUUUCAAAGCUAGGAGAAACAAAAAUAAAGAACCAUAAAGAAAUGAAAGUCAAAUAUGACACUUAUCAUCUUUAAAUAAAAUAAUGAUGAUGAUGAUGAUGAUGAUGAUAAAAUAAAUGAAAUAAAAUAGAGAGAUAAAAGGAGCUAGCCUUGUUUCUCCUUAUAAUCCUUUCUUUGAUGGUUCACUUUGGAUACUCAUGGAGAGGAUGAAUAUAUAUAUAUAUAUAAAGACUUCAAUCCUCACCUCUCAUAUGGAGGCACAUCUACCUAGGCCCAUAUAGAAACCUCACCACCUAAGCCCACUUAGAGGCUCAUCUACCAAAGCCCACUUCUAGGCCUAUCACCCAAGCCCACAUGUAGGUUUUGAUUUCUUUUGUUUUUUCCUUAAAAAAAAUAAAUUAAAAUACGUGGAAACUCCUUGAUUUUUUUUAUUUAAAUAAAUGGCAUUUUAAAAAAAAUCUUCUAAUCAAGUGGAGACACAUGAAAAAUAUAAGUCUACAACACCUAGCCUAUAUGCACCCAUGACCAUUAUAAUGGCUAGUUGUAGGAGAAAAGAUUGUCUAAAGUGUUGGAAACCUUGGAUUACUUCAUUCUCAUGCCCUGGAUAGUGUAAGGUGCAUGCCAAUCUAUCCUAUGCUCUUUAAAUCUAUCACAGUAGAUAAAUAGGUAUUCAAAAACUAUAUGGAUACCAUAGAAAACAUAGAUCUAGAGAAUAAAGCCACACUUUUGAUCUAGAUGUUCCCGAAUCAAUUCCAAUCAAUGUGGGUAACUCCAAAGUCAUAAUGGAUCUCAUAAACACCAUGAUCUUCCACCCGAUGAGUCUUUCUUAUGUCUAGGCACGGAGAUGGUGGAGAUUUCAAGAGUGGAGGUUAGGGUUCUCUAUCUAGACCAAAGAGGAGAAUGACAAGACUUGGAAACCCUAACCCCUAAAGUGGUAUUUAUAGGUUUCCUAAUGGGUUUGGGUCACUUAGUCUAACUCAAAAAAAGUUGUUAAUUAAUUAAUUAACCAUACAAGGCCUAAUUAAUCGAUUAACCCAGUCUAGAGAUACCACUCACUUAUCCCUAUGUAAUCUUGCAUAAUUAUCAAAAUGCCCUUAUGCACAAAAGUAAACUAAAAACUCAUCUAACCCUUAGAAGUUGUGCCAACAAGGAAUAUGAGCUUAGAGUGGGGACCACUAGGACCCAUAGGAGUACUAACUCCCUCAUAAUCAAAUUCUAAAAUUGACUCAACAUCCCACUAUAAAGAGUCAAUUGCAUUCCAGUAUCUUAUGUAUUUUACAAUGAGACACCUAGUGCUUAGAUCUGUAACCUACUAUCCACUACAUGUAAACUCCCAAUGAACUGGUACAUGUAAUCUUACAAAAUAGUGUUAUCACCUUUCAAAUCCUUGAGUUACAAAUCUCACUUAUUAUGUGAUCAAAUGACAUACCUAACUCCAAGGAGUAUAUGUCAAAUUUCAUUAAAGGAAUUACUAUGGCCAUAGAUUUCAUGACCACAUGUCCUUUGGAUUACCAAGCGGGACACACUGUCUCAAUCCCAUGAGAUAUCAUGAUGCCUUUAUUGAGAAUACUGAUUCCCACCAGCCUCCAUCAACAGUAACCCAAUUCAUAGGAACAUAUGACUAUUUUAGUGUCUCACCCAUAAGUCAAAGCCUCAUGUUGAUUUUAACACAGGUUUAAUAUCUUCUCAAGGUUAAAAGUUCAUGCAGUAUAGUAGUUUGGUUAAUCAUGACAAUUGAUAAGAUUGCAUCAUAACUCAUCGUAGGUCCUGUUCAGUGUGCAUCACAUACACUAGUACACUUACCAUGGGAAACUCAUCCUGAUGACCAAGACAAGUCAUCCCUCCAAUUAGGAGGUGUUGCACUAUUGUCUCUACUAGAUUACUCAAAUCCAUGAACCAACUAUGGACAACUUAUCUACUUACAAGGACCCAUGACUUGUAUCUUCUGUGCAACUCUUAAUGCACCUAAAUCAUGUAUAAUGUAAAAAAAUAUGGGUUGAAUGCUCAAAUCAAUGUCAAUACACCAACGGGAUUGCAAAGGGAUAGUUAAGUAUAACUUUGUUACAUCAUGUCUUGCAUUUAGGGCUCAAUCCCAACAUAAAGAUCUUGUUUAGUAACUAUUUUUAGAAAUAGUUUUUUGUUAUCUAGAACCAAAAAAAAAAACAGACAUUUAGCAACUAGAAAAUAGAAACAAAAUGUUCUCAGAUAAUAUAUUUUAGUUGUUUUCACUUAUGUUUCUAAUGAUUAUUUUAAAAAAUAAUUAUACUAAUGUGGACAAUGAUUCCAAAUAAAGCACUACAUAUAAAAUUAAUUUUCAAAACAUAUUUAAAUACAUAAAAAGAGGUUAAGAAUAUUUCAGGAUCUUAAACAAACUUUUAUUCUACAAAAUAUCAUAAAAUAAUUUUCAAAACUAUACUAAAAAAUUGUUUUUCAAAAUUGUUUUUAAAAUAUUUUUCAAAUAAAGCCUAAGUUUCCAAAUCCCACAUAUGAAGCGGAUGAGAAUAAAUAAACUAAAAAACCCUACCAAAUUUUGCUACUAGUAAAUUUUCUAAAAGCUAGUAGUCAUUUUCUAAAAGCAUGGAAAACAUUUUCACAUAAAUAAAAAAUAAAAAUAAAUAAAUAAACAAGAUAUAUUUAAAGGGUGUGAUUUUAAGAGAUGGCAUGAACAUGUGUUCUUUGUCAUUAACAUGAUCAAUUUAGGACAUAUUUUGAUUCAAUUAAAACCCUAAUAAAAGUUUUGAAGAUCAUGAUGACUAGAAAAGAGGGAGCAAACAAGUUUGCUAUAUGAUCUUGAGUACCUUGUCAAAUGAGUUGUUCAUUAUUUACUACUUUAUGAAAAUUGGUUAAAACUAUAAAAUAAAAAUUGAACAAAAAAUAUUUUAUAAAUGAUGCAAAAAUCCAAAAAUGUGUCAUAGAGACUUUUAGAAAUUUCUUUAUAACUAAAGAUGAAGAUGUAUCAUCUCAAAUCCACGCAUAUCAUGCUUUAAUUAGUAAUCGACAAAUGAACAAAUUGAGCUACUUGAAUCUUUAAUUUGUUGCUCGGUAUCACUAGAAGACAUGAUAAUCCUUAUUAGGAUUGAAAAAUAAAAUAAAAACUGAGAAAAGGUUGAGAAAUCCAAGGAACUUGUUUCCAAGUUAGUCUAGUGGAAGAUAAGCUUAAAAAUAGUAAGAGUAACAAGAAUAAUAAGAACAACAAUAGGUCUCAAAAUCAUAAAUAUAACCUCAAUUCUAUCAACAAGUCCUAGAACCCUAAAUUUAAAAAGAGUGGAAAUUACUUUAUGCAUGGAAAUCAUAGGUGCUAAGCAACACAAGUGUUAAAAAGAUGAAUGAGGAACAAAAGCCCAAGGAGAAUUUAGUUGAGACUAGUAUGACUAUUCUAGGGGUUUUCUCUAAGAUAAAAAUGGCGAUUAAUAUGAAGGACUCUAAGAUUACUAGACAUAUCUACGGCAAUAGGAGUGAAUUCGCCUACUACACUAUAGUAGGGGGAUGGUGGGGAACAAGUAUUUAUGAGUGAAUCAAUACCCUCGUUUGUGUUUAGAAAAUGGAAAAUGCUUCUCAAAUUUUCUUUAAGCCAAGUAUUUGCUAGAAUUUAGUAACUGUCUCUUUACUUAGGAAGGCAAAGGUUAAGAUCAUAUUUGAGACGGAUAAAAUUGUCCUAAAAUGAUAUAUUUAUAGUAAAGGACUAUUAUAAUAAAGGUUUGUUCAUGUUAAACAUUUAUGAAAUUAUCAAUGAGAAUGCUUCUAGUUCUUUUACUUAUAUAAUUGGAUCGUAUGAUUUAUGGUAAGGUACACUAGGUCAUGUAAAUUAUUCUUACAUUAAUAAAAUGACAGUUUAAUUUGAUUUCUUAAAUUUCAUUAGAAAAUCAUGGGAAAAAUGAAAAUUGUGUCGAAUCUAAAACUACCAAGAAAACUUGCAAGUCAGUAGAAAGGUAGAUGAGACCCUUUAGCCUUAUUCAUAGUGACUUGGGAGACUAAAAAAAUAAAAUGACUAGAGGUGAAAAAAGAUUUUACAUAGCAUUUAUAGAUGAUAAUUUAAAAGAUACAAGAGUAUAUCUUUUUGAGGAACAAAGAUGAAACCAAAGAGGAUUUAUAGAUGAUAAUUUAAAAGAUACAAGAGUAUAUCGUUUUCAUGAACAAAUAUUAAACCAAAGGUUUUCACAAAAUAGAAAAUGGAGGUUAAGAACUAAAUGAACAAAAAGUUAAGAGACUCAAAACAUGUAAAACAUAAAAUAGAAGUUAAGAACCAAAUGAAAAAUAAAAAAUAAAAGACUCAAAAUAGACAAAAAAGAAGAAUAUAAUUCAAACCUUUUAUAAAUAUCAUAGGAUUAUUUAUGAGAUAAUUCCUUCUGAUUCCCUAAAUUAGAUGGUGUAAUCCCUAAAUUAAAUGGUGUAAAUGAAAGGAAUAAUAGGAUCUUAAAGAAUAUGAUGAAUGUUAUGUUAUCGAGUUUAAGAGCAUCCUUGAACUUGUAAGGGGGAAGUUAUCCUUGAAAAAUCAAACUUCAGUAGGGUAACACCCAAAUGAAAGUGAAUGGGUGUAAUUAAAAAUUAUAAUAUAAAGAUUAAGAUUUAAUAAUCCAUUUUAAGUAAGGAGUAGAGUUUUUAACCUAAUUAAACUUGUGAAAUAUCAAGGAUUAAAAUAAUAUCUAAAAUAUUUUAAAUAAAAAAAAGUAAAUAAACAUACAAAGGACACAAGAUUUUUUACGUAGAAAACCCUCACACUAACUACGGAAAUAAAAAAUCACGGGGUCUAAAACCUUUAAUUUAAAUCCAAUAUAUAAGAUCAAGUUACAUAGAUUAUUUACCUGACUAUUUUACCCUAAAGACUUAUUGUCCAAUACCUACAACUCUUCAAUACCUACAAUUACUCUCCAGCACCCUACAACUUGAUCCACAUCCACAACACAGCAAUCUCCAAUUGCUCAACUGAAUGCACCUCAACCUCAUUGAAGAAAUGCAGGUUUUCAAACAACCCCAGAUUCAACACUUUGAAUCCUUCUUGAGAAAUUGGGAAUGGUAGACCAAGUUAGGUUGAGUCUCUCUCAAUGAAUUCCAUAAAAAAUAAAUAAAUAAAUAAAAUAAAAAACACAUUUAGAUAUGGUAUAUAUAUAGGGGGGAAAUUAAUGGAAUUGGAAUCAAAUUAAAAAUCAUAUUCUACUAAAAACAAUUUAGAAAUUUAAAAAGUUUUAAAAAGAUUUGAAAAGAUUUCAUAUUUUAAAUUAAAAAAUAUUUGGAAAAUAUUUUUAUUUUAAAUAUUUAAUUUAAAAUUCUUUUCCAAACUAUUUUUAUUAUUUGGAAAGAUUUUUCUUUUUAAAUUCUCAAUUUAAAAUUAUUUCCAAACAAUUAAAAGGAUUUCAUAUUUAAAUUAAAAAGAAUUGGAAAAAUUCUAUAUUUUAAAUCCCCAAUUUUAAAUUCUUCUCCAAAUUAUUUUUAUUAUUUGAAAAGAUUUUUCUUUUUAACUUCUCAAUUUAAAAUUCUUUCCAAAUAAUUGAAACAUUUUACCUUAAUUAAAACUUUCAAUUCAGCCCUACCUUAUAAAAAAAAAACCAACUUGUCUUUGUUCAAUCAUUUUUAGAUUUACUUGUGACUUUACGAUUGAACGAAUAACAACCUUAAAUCUUCAAUAGAAAGCAAGUUACUAUGUAAAAAGUUUCAUAAGUUAGAAAAUAAUUGAAACAAAAUAGUCGUCUCAUUGUUCUAAGAGUCCUUUCUACAUGUCACAUUCAAAAUAAGAUAACAUAUAAAAGCUAUGGAAGGGUCAUGCACCCAACCCAACAUGACUCGAUGUGGGAAUGUCUUGCAGAGGUUCUUUUACCUAAAGCUAAGAAGAGGAAACUAGGUCCUAAAAUUUUUUAAUGAAUGUUCAUUGGAUAUACUGAAAAUAGUACCAUAUACAUGUAUCUUGUGAUUAAGUCAGAAAAUAACUUAUGGGAAGUGAUAAUAAUGGAAAUAAAGAAUAUUGACUUCUUUGAAACAAUCUUUCCUAUGAAAAAUGAUAAAGAAAUGCAUAUUCAAAGAGCAAUUAAAGAUGAAUCUAAUGAUUACUUUGAAAUUUAAUUAAUUUAGAGUAAAAGAGAUCUUAAAGAAACAAGCCUUGGAGAUGACUUCCAUACUUUCCUACUAGACGAUGACCCUAAGGCCUAUGAAGAAACAAUGUGUUAUCUAACAUAACAUUUUGAAAAACAGUCCAUUUACAAUAAAAUUGAGUCUAUAAUGUCAAAUCAUAUUUAAGAGAUGGUGGAUCAAACUCUUACUACCAAAACUAUAGGCAAUAAAUGGAUAAUUUAAAAUAAAUUGAAAUUAGAUGAGUCUAUAGGAAAAUAAAAGUCAAAGUUUGUUGCUAAAGAUACAAACAAAUGAAAAAUAUAGAUAAUUGACAUUUUUAUGCUUGUGACUUGGAUUUGUGUUGAUGGUUUUAUCUUUCAGUUAUGACUUAGUGAUUCACUAUAUAGAUGUCAAUACUACAUUCUUGAACGAGAAAUUGGAAAAGAAAAACUACAUGGAUCAGCCAAUGGGUUAUAUAGUGCCUAGAUAAAAGCAAAAUUUAUAUAAACUCGUCAAAUGCUUAUAUUGAUUAACACAAGCACCAAAAUAAUGGCAUAAUAAAUUUGACCACAUCUUGGUAGUUAAUGGAUUUUUCAUUAAGAUGAUGAAAAAUGAAUUUAUAGCAAACUUGGGAAGAACAUAUCUAUUCUCAUAUGUCUAUAUAUGUUGGCACCAUGUUAAUUUUUUAGGAUUAACUUAGAAGUUAUUUGUGACAGUAAGAGAUUCCUAGAGCUUGACUUAAUAUCAAAGACUGAGAGGGAAAGGUUAUGCUAGAAUAAGAGAGUCCAUAUUAACGUAGAAGUUACUUGUGAGACUAAGAAAUUUCUAAAGCUUGACUUUAAUAUUAGACACGAGAGGGAAAGGUUGUCUCGAGAAUCAAAAUAACUAAAAACACCUAAUGCCCUAAAGUCUCACAAGAAUACUUUGUUGAGAAAAUCCUUAAAAAAAAUUUUGUUGAUCAUUUCCCAAAAAUCAAUAGUUGUUUCCUAAAAACAUGAAAAAUGUUUUUAAAUUAAAAAUAAAAAUAACCCACAAAAAUUUUAUUUGCUGGUAAAGGAAAAAUGAAAAAAAUGAAAAGAUCGAAACUCACUCGUUGUUGAUGAAAACAAAAAAAAAAGGAAGAAAGAAAGAAACUUGCUCUUUGUCGAAGAAAAAAAACCAUAGAAAAACCCAUCUAAAAAAACCAAAGAGUCAUAUUCUAGAAAAUAGAAAUUUGAUCUUUCAGUAUUUUGCAAUCACCCUUCCUGAAAAUCAACCAGGAGAAACACUCUUAACUGGUAGUGCUACUACCUUCAUGAUUGGAAUAUACCAUUAUACUGUUGUGAUAGACCACACCAAGAUUAUUUCGAAGGGAGUGAAAUCUAGUACAAGUACGAUGAUUACACACUUUAACUGAUCUUGAUAGGUUCUCUUCUUCAUAUCUUGUUUCUACCAGUUUUAUUCCACUGUUCGGAUGUGGAUUCUACAAAUCUCAGAUUUUAAAUUGUGAUCAUUCAUUUGCGUUACCUUCACUUGAACGAUAAUUCUCAAUUGUUAAUUUCCAUCAAAACCAAGUUAACCAACUCAUCAAAGGGCUGGAAUGGAAACGGGCUAGCCACCUAAUACGUUGGUAAUUUUGGGCUUUGGCCCAAUUGAAGCAUGCAUUUGCUUGGCCAUGACUAAAAUUCACAGGCGUCAGUCCUAAUUUUCCUUUUUACUCGCCUUAAGGCACCGUCAAUCACAUCACAUGGAGGCGAAUGAUGGAAUAGAUUUAAAAAUAAGGUGAAAAAAUAUUUGAAGAGUCAAUCCAAACCCGCUGAUUCCAGAGGCAUAUGGUCAAAAUGAUAUAAUGAAUGUUUGGCCAAGGUGGUCUAACGUCCCUAUCACGGACUUGACAAAUAAAACCCCACAGUAGCUAAGUACUUAAUGGGACAACGGAAGGUGAACUGCUCGGAGUUGACCUGUAAUACGCAAGUGGCCAUGGUUUUCCCAGUUGCGUAGCAGCCUUACCCACUACCAAGAUUCCCUUUUCUUAUUAAGAAUCAAAAGUCGCAGAUGAAGACGAAUCUCAAGUCGUCCAUUUAAUUAAAUUUAAUUUAAUCUAAUUCAACAAAGGGACCACCUCUUCACUCAACACUGCUUUCCCCAUUAUGCCCUCCCUUCCCUUCUUAAUUUACAGAUCCAACCCAUUCCCACCGCUCCCCACGUUAAUCUACUAGAGUCCUUUUUUUCAAGUUGACUCGAACACCAAGCCCACUCCUCCGUGGGGUAUCAUCUCCUGCAUCGCGACCUGUGAGUGAGAGUGCUCCCCCUCGUACGUCACGAUCAGCAUCGCUGGAUCAUCUGAGGCCCGCUCCACGUGUUUCCUAGCGGGACACCCUCUCAUGCUACUGCACUUGUAAUAACCACUGCAAAGGCAACAUUCAAACAUAUUAUCAGAUGGGGUCUUCAUAUGGGCGCCACACAGAAAUUCAACGGUUGCAGAUGUGAGGGAGCACAGUAUUACCGUGGGUAUGGUGAGCCCUUGAUUGGCUUCUGGCCGUACUUUCUCCACGAGUACUCGUCCGCAGGAAUAUCGGCGAUUUUCGAACUGAUUGCUGGCACUCUAAUAGUUUUCUUCACCCGAGAUCUCCUGAAAUGAAAAUAAAUUUUUUAUUAUUAUGACCAUCAUGAGCCAUGGAUGUUCAAUGUCAAUCGUACAAGAAUAUGGGAUUGUCGGCCGGGUGCGUUCGGAGAUUCGUCCACCGGACGAAAAUGACAGGGGAACAAAAGUCCACCAUGCAGGCGCACGUCAGCCUCAGACCGAGUUACCGACUAAAUUUUAGAACUUCAAACUCAGUUUUUGACUCGGUGCUUUGACUAGGUAAGACGCCCAGUAGGUAACUCGAUUUCCGUCCGAGUCAAAAGAAAACUCGACAGAUUUUUCACCGAGUGGUGGCUUCGUGUCACGAUUUUCCACGUUUUUGUCCCUUUAUUUAUUUAUUAUUUUUUCUCCCCAUCGAUAACAAUAGGUUAGGUUCACAAAACAAACAUCUGGUUCAACAACUGAAAAGAUGCUAAAAUUUGCUAAUAUGCACCGCAGGCGAAGAGCACCUCAUACCUUCUUUUAGAGCAAUGGCAACGGCCGGAGCUGGAGUACUUUCCGGAUAUAUCAUCGGAAUGAUCAUGCUCGUGGCAUCUCUUCCGGCAAGAAGAUGAGAGAGGAGGUUUACCGGCAGAAACGGCCGGCGCUGGAGCUAGAAACAGAGAUGACCCCUGCUUUCCGUUAGAAACACUGCCGUCUCCGGUGAUCGACGACAUAAAUGACGAAUUUGUCGCGGACGACAUAGGCUGCGAUAAGCCGAAGCUCUCUUUGCUGAACUGACUCGUAGAAACCACAUCGCUACUCACAGGGUUGGAGCUCACAAGAUUAGGCUUGGUGAAGUCAAGCGUCAAACUCUGCCGCUGAACAAAACUCGCCGGAGGCGGCGCCGCCGGAGGAACGGGAAGUGAAGUGACAGGAGCAGGAGUAAGGGCGUGAGUCUGAGGAGCCACAGAGGAGGUUGAAGACGAGGGAGAAUCAGAAGAAGAAACCGGUCCGCGGCGGAAGCGGGCGUGGCCGGUACGGUUCAAGAUGGAAAUGACCUUCUUGAACUUGGAAACGGUGUAAUCUGUGAUUUCCCUGCAAUCGAGCUGAUUCAUGUUGUGGUUUUGAUUGGUCUGAUGAGACAGCAUGCGGAUCAGAUGCUCCAUGCUCUUCAAUCCAGCCGAAGCCGCAUCUUGAAUCGCGAUCUGCUCAUCCAUUUUGGAAAACCCUAGAAGCUCAACCGCCAUUGGAGACGACUACCAGACAAAGGAAGAUGUCUCUCUCCUAAAAGCUUAGGCGACCAUCAAAGGUUUGAAGGGAUAGAAGUUGGAGAGGCGUGUGGCGAAGUAAGAGGAAGAGACGGGAGGGGGAGGGGUUAUAAUGGAGGGAGGAGGUGACAGGUGACCGGAUGAGCAAGUUUGGGUCAAAACCCCUUUUUUAAUCUGACGGCUAAGGGAGGUUUGAAGAUUUCUAUGGAAGGUGAGUGGUGGGGCCCACCUAAAUAAAAGAAAUAAAGAAUACAAAGCCUAAAGGGUUCGUACUGUGUUAGAACUUAGCAGCACACGUUGUUUGAAUUUUGGGGGAGGGAAGGCGAAAUUUUUGGCUGUUGACGACACAUUCAGACUUCAUUUCUGAAAUUCAAAGCCUUUCAAAUUAAAGGUGCGUUUGGUUAGACGCCAAAUGGAUUAAGAUUCUGGUAACUCACGUAUCUAAGACUUUUGGCGUCUUAACCACUCCGAGUCGUUGGUUUGAACGGCUGAAAAAUAUAAAUUUUUUAUUUUAUGUAAAUAUUUCCAAGUAUUAAAUCGAUUAUCUAUCGAUGGUCAAAAUACAUAAUACGAAAGUCGUGAGAAUUUUUAAUACGAGGUAAACAUAGCCAUCACAUGCCUGUCAAUUACCGUGCCCAUCACUCUCCUCACCAUCUUAGAACUAUAGUUUGACUGUUAAAUUUCCAAACACGUGCAUGUCUUAGACACGUGUCCUUAACAUAUUUCCUAAUUCGACUAUAUAAUAUGCUAAUAUCCUAUGAUAAAUCUUCCCCGGUACAUUGAAUCAAACUCAUUUUACUAAAAUAAUUAUUUGACCACGGCCUCAUUAGUCUGAUUAAAUUUUUUGCCUCGUUUUAGAACUUUCCCUUAAGAAUAACGAAACAAUCUUUUACAUGUCAUGUCGUAUGUCCAUUGAUUUAAUAUGUAAACUGAAAGAUAUUUUUCAAAGUGAAACCUAAUUCAUUACGAGAUUAUCCUUUGAUAAAAGAGAAAUUCCCGAUAUAUUGGGACGAAACAAAGCUGACUUAAAGUGGUGAUCACGUGGAGGUAAUGAUGUUUUUAAUCUGAAAAUUGUUGACCGGCUUUUUCCAGAAACCGGAUGCAGGCGGUACCUGAUUACUGGGCCGUCCGAUCACAUCGGGGUGAUCCAACGGUGGGACUCCUCCGAAGAGAGUUGACUACGACUUCAAUAUUCGUCGGGAAGGUCCAUGUGGUAGGACCCGUAGCAUGUCGCCACGUGGCGUCCUUUUUUAAUGAGUCAUGAAAAUUAGCUGGUGCCUAUUAAUUAGGUAUGGUUUCCGUGACCAACGAGAGUCAACGCUUUACGAAUAACGUGUGGAGUUGACCCGAAGUCACACCUUCCGGAGCUGAUCGACCCGGUGGGCACCCGGGUCUAAUUAAUUAAUGUCCUUUAAAUGAUUUUUUUUAAAAUUAAAAUUAAAAUUAAUUGUAAUUAGGCUUUUGCAGGUGGGUGGGGUGGGGUGGGUUGGGUUUGGAAUUUUUUAAUUUGCAAUGCAAUGUUGUCUCACAAGUGGGUCUUCUCGACCUAAUUUGAAAUCAACUUGUGGAUUAAGUUAAAGCAAAUGCUUUUAGUUAUUCAAAUUAUAAUAUUUUUAAAAUAAAAUAUAAAUACAAUUAUUUAAAAUCAUAUAUAAAUAGUCUAAUUCAUUCAACUCAAUCAAUUAUUUCUUUUGUAAUUAAAAAAAUUAUAUAUAUUUGAAAAAAGUUUAUCCCUUUAAACAUUGGGCACAGCAAAGAAUGGAAAAUUUUGGAGUAGAAACUCCAACUAAAAUUCAAGCUACAUGCCUCAUUCUACAGCAUGUGUUUCCACCUAAUUUUCCACGUUAUAAAUAUUUUAAAUUAUAUACUAAAAAAUCAAUGAAGUCAAGCAAUGGUGGCCAGUUGUACUAAACAAGAAGCCUGCUUUUCAUAGCCUUCUUAUUGAAAAUGAUAAGAAGUUACUGAGUCCUUAGUGGGUUUCAAUUUCCCACUUAAAAAUGGGAUAUUUUGCAUUUUUUAAUAUUUGGGUCCUAAAUUAUUAUUAAUAUAAUUUGGGGCUUUUUUUGUAUAGAGUGCAUUAGGUCCAUAUCUUAAUGAUUUGGUUCCUGAACCAAUAUAAUGCAAGAUCAGCUUCCUAUAUAUAUAAAUAUUCAAUAGGUUGAAAUUGGGCAAAAAGGCAAAAUUAUAAAGAGACAGCACAAUCCCUUUAGAGAUUGCUUUGCAUUCAAUAAGAACUUUCAUCGUGAAGGUGGAGUCUCAUAAUUUAUGAUAAUGGGUCCAUCUGAAUGCUUAUUAUAAUUGGGAUUUGAGAGGCAUUCUCUCUCUCUCUACUCAAUUGCAAAUUCCUUUAGUCUUGUGUGAUGGUAGAGGUAUGAUUAUCCAUGACACUAUCAAAUUAUGGGGCAACACUUUGAUUAUUAGUUAAUUAAAUAAAAAUAAUUUUAUUUGGAUGGAAUUUAAGUGGGCAUUUGAUAAAAUUUAAAUUAAGUUUGUUAAUUUUAAAUUUAUUAUUUAUUUUUUACUUUAAUUAUUGAGAUUGCGUAGCAAAAUUAACUUAAAACUUAUUUUAAAUUGUCAAAUUGACAUAUUUACCCUAAUUAAUUUUAACUAAAAUUUUUCUUCAUUAAUUUUAACUAAUAAUUAUAUUUUCACUAAUCUUAAACAAUAAAUUUAUUUGUUAAAUAUCCAUAUCUAAAUAUUAUAGAUACAUAAGACAAUCAUAAAAUAUUAUUAUGAAAAAUUAGUUAUGGACGUCACUAGUGUGGUAAAUAAGGCAAAAAAAAAAAUUUGAAAUUAAAAAUAAGUUAAUUAUUUUAACUUAUUAUUUAAAGUUAAAAAUGACUUUAAAGUGUAAUAUUAAGUUAUUUUAUUAAAUAUACUUAAUCUAUUUAAUGACUUAAAUUAAAUUAUUAAGUCAUAAGUUGAUUUAUCAAACACCUUAUAAGAAUUAUUCUAAAUUCAAAACUAAAAUAAAAUUUAAGAUUCAACUACGAUACCAAAAAGGCAUCCAUCGAAAAAUGAGAUCAAUCACAUCGUAUCGCAUAUGCAUUUAGGUCUUACUGUUUUAGAUUUGUUGCUUUGUAUUAUGGUUUCAUUCAUCUUAUUCAACUCAUCCAUAAGUAUAAUUUAAUCCAUGGUCACACCAUAUAGGAUGUCAAAGGUGAAGAGCUCAAAGGGGUACAACUUGACAUUGGGGUUGUGAAGUAGUUAUAAUUUAAAAAAAAAAAAUGGUAUUUUAAUAUUCCCUUAUAAUAAUAUUAUUACAAAGUUGGUUGAAUUUUUGAAAUCACGUAAUCAUAUAUUAUAAGGUGUAACCACCGAAGAAUAAUUGAACAUUGAAAUUUAAAUAUUCUUGUACAAUCUUUUCUUCAGCUUUUUAAUUGUGCUCUUUGGGUCAACUCUUUUAAGCCCUACUUUAUUAAAAAAUAAAUAAAUGGAUUGAUUCCAUCCCAAAUCCCAUAUCCAAAGAAUUAGAUUCUUGUAAAUCUCUUGAAAAAGGUGGAAAAUAAAUAAGUCCACAAUGUGUGGGUGGACAAUGGAUCCAAACCCACACUUUAAAUUCAAGAUACCAUAUUUGCCCUUGUCCAAAAAUGGCAUAUCACUAUAAAAGUAGAAACACUAGAGGGUCAAAAUUGUCUUUCACCAAAAUUCAUUAUAAUAAAAGAAAAUAAAAAGUGAAGGUUUUUGCCCCUUCUUGGUUGCAAAGAAAAAAUAAAAAAAAUAAAAGAUUUAAAAUUUAUAAAUUAUUUUUAUAUAUUUUUUCAAAUUUAUUUUAUUUAUUUUUUAUAAAAAUUAAAUAAUUCAAAAAUAAUUAAGUUUUUAUCUAAUCUUAAUUAUGAAUAAAAUUUGAGCACUCUAGGAUUAAUUCAAAUUUUAAAUUGGCAAAAAGUCAAAAUAGUUGAUUUAGUGCCAUUCAACAACAUUCAAAAGGAUCUGCCAAGGGAUUUGAUUCUUCAUUCAAAAUAACUUAGUCAAUUAAAGAAAGAGGGAAAGAUUAUGGAAGAGUUCUUGUACUUAGACUAUUUGCAUUAUGAGUCCCAAUACUUGGUGCAAUUUGUACUUUGAUCCUAAAAUCAAAAUUGAGUUGACAAACAAAAUAAAUAAAGGGAUGAGAUAUGGAGGGAUAUUAAUUUUAAUUAGUCAAUGUUUUUUUAUGUGUCCCACUUUGCCAUAUAUUCCUCAAAUUGGUGGAUGGACUUUUGACUUUAAUUGAUUCUUAAUGGAAAAGUUUAGAGAAGAAUAAAAUAUAGCAUUGGAUGCUUGUGCCACAAUGUUAUAAUAUUAGUAAGGCAAAAGAGUCUUAAAGUUUUUGAGCCAAGUGGAGAUGCAUUUUAUAAUAAUAUUUAUGGUGUGGGUAGUCCAUGGCAUCUCGUGACUUGUGAUGGAGAAUACCAACUUUGCUUCUUUUUUUUUUUUUUUUGGCAUUAUUUUUUGCUUUUAAUUACUUUGUUGUGCUUAAGAAACAAUGGAUUACAGCUACUACAUCUGCAAUUAAUUAAGGAGAAUUUAUAUAUUUUUUUAAUUUAUUAAACUCGUGUAGAAAUCUAAAAAAUGAAUUUUUUUUUUUUUAUUAUUUAUCUACCCAUUUGUAUUGGGUACCAUCUAUAGUCACCUUGAAUUUUUCCCUUGAAUUCUUUUAAAACGUUACUUGGUUUUCAUCUUUCACUAUGGGUUUACAUGUUGUCUUUUGAUUGCUCGGGAUGAUAAUUGUUUGCAAUAAAAAAAUAUUCUUCAAAAUUAUAUUAUUGUGUUAUCGAGAAUACGGUCACAUAGCUAUGUUAUUGUGAAUAUGAUCGUAUGGUCAUGUUCUCAAAAACACGACCAUUAUAAGGUUAACUCAUAUUGGUGUUCCAAGAUGACUAUCUACUGGUUCAUUAUGGUGUUCGUGCAUGUUUGAUAUUUAUAAUAUAUUUAAUUAGCUCACCUAUUUAAUUAUUUAAUUAUAAGAUAUUUAUAAGGUAGAAGUUAGUGUGGCCAUGUUUGACAAAAGAGUAUGCAUACCAAAAGAGCUUAUUGAAGGCCAUCGGCCUAGACAAAGUCAAAAAAGUAGUGGGUAAGCAAAAAGUAACUACCAAUGAAGACCAGAAUUGGAAUUUCAAAAAAGAAACUGUAAUGGCCUAAUUGAUGUUUUUAUGCCAACUCCACUCCUCGUAAUAUAUAUAUAUAUAGCUGAAAACAGAGUGGAAAACUAGGCUUCAAAAUCAAGCCCCCCAAAUGAUGCUUUUGAAAGGUCAUACUUAUUGACCCAUUCAAGCCAUUAAAUACCAAUGCCAUCUAAUGAACUAGAGCUAGGACUAGGAAAACUUAAGGAGAUGAAUUGAAAAGUAGAAUGUUGAGUUCACUUAAAUUGAUGAAGACUUUUCAUUAAAUGGUAAAGGAGAUAGCUUAAACUAAUAAAGAUCCUUGUGAUUAGAAUGUUCCUAAAGUAAUAUUUGAUUAGUUUUCAUAAUCCUUGAAAAAGAAAAUAUGAGGAUGAAAUUCAAGUUUUACUUCGAUGUUAGAAGAGAAUUUAGCAACACUAAUUAAAUUUGUCUUAAUAUUUGACACUUGGAAGAUAUUUCUCACAUGCAAGGAUUUAGAUAAAAGAAGAUGGAUAAAAGAAUGGUCAAUCCAAAGAAUGGGUAAACUAAUGCCAUUACCAAUAAGAUAUGUUAUUGAGAUCUACAAUUAGGUGGGUUGGUCAUUAUUGAAUUCAAAUACCAUGAAGGGUCAAUUACCAUCUCAAAGGUAGCAAUUAACCAGUAAGUUGUUGGGAUUGAAGAGAGAUUGGUCACUGGUACGUGAUGUAUAGUGUUUGAAUGUAAAGUGUUUGUGCAUAUUCCCAAAGAAUAGAGAUCCAAGCUUGAUGAUAAGGUAAUUCCAUGCAUUUUUGUUGGGUAUAGUGAUGACAAGUUUGGGUUUAAGCUAGGGAAUCGAAUCACAAGGAGAGUUGUGAGAAGUAGAGAUGUGGUCUUUCAAGAGGAUCAAACCUUACAAGAUUUUAAUAAAUUCAAUAGCCCAAAGGCACAAAUAAUGAUUUGAUUGAGGUAGUACCUACUCCUUCCUCAUCAUAACAAUCUAGAAUUAGGGAAAUGUAAGCUGAUGAGUCAAUUGUAGAUGAGAGAUGGUGAUAUGGAUUGAGUAGAGAUGAUAGUAUAGAUUAUAUGCCUACAUAGGAGCCCAUUGAGUAGGGAGAGCAACUACCCUUAAGUUAGAUGGUUUACUAGAAAGCAUCAUCCUUUUACCAUAUAUCCCUCCUUUGGAUAUGUGUUGUUAUUGAUGCGAUGGAGCUAGAGAGUUUUCAGGAAGCCAAGUAUUGUGAAGAUAGCAACAUUUGGUUGAGACCAUUGCAAAAUGAAAUGAUUUCUUGCAUAAAAAUAAAACUUAUGAGCUAGUAAAACUUCUUAAAGAUUUGUUUUUUAAAAAAAAUAAAAUAAAACAUCAUUCACUAGAUUUGUGGUUCAACCUUUAGCAUCAACCACCCAUUUUGCUUGACUUCAUCUUCUUCAACCAUCUCGAAUCUAAAAAGAAGCAAAUAUUUUCUUUAUUUUCUUUCUUAUCCAUGGUGGAAUUAGAAGUAUGUUACAAGUUGUUUCCAACCUAUAAUACCUGCCCUGACAAUGAUAAAUUAUUAGAAGUCAAAGCACUCAAUUAAGAGUAAAAUUUAAGUAAGUGGACUCUUUAAGAAAUAAUAAUAGUAUUGAUUAAUAAAUUAAAUAAUAUUAAAAAAAAAAAAGUCUACAAGUUUCAGAGGGAAAUUUAAUUGUUUACAAUAUUAAACUUCAUCCUAGAAAACACAUCAAAUUCUUAAAAGUGUAAUGUUCCUUAUAUUUGGCAUGGUAUCACCGUAUAUUGAUGUAAUUCCAAUAGCUUUGGGAUUUACCUCCAUGCUUGUUUCUAUUUACAUUCAUAUUCUCAUGUACCAAACACACUUUCAAGUUUACAAAAAUUUAUAUUUUUCAACCAAAUUUGGUAAUUUGUUGGAACCCGUUGAUGUAAGAAUGCAUAUAUUCAAUAAAUUUUUAUUUAAUUUUAAUUUGAAAUUAUAGUUAAAUAUUUUGAAAUACUUGGUACUAUAAUUUUAAAGUAUAUUUGACAAUAAUUCUAUAAAGCGUUAGUAUAAAAAGUAUUUUUGAAAAAAAAAAUAGGUAUUUUACAAAAUUUAGCAAACACUUUUAAAAAUAUAAAAAAUUACUUUUACUAUUGAAAAAUUAAUUAUAAUUUUUUCUAGAAAAACAUAUGAUAGAUGAUUUUCCUAUUAAUACUUUUAAAGAACAUAUUUCCACUAAAAAUACUGUUAAACAUACUUCGAACUCAAAGUGUUUUUAGUGGAAGAGUGAGUUUGACAAUAAUUCUAAAAAUAUUUCUAAUAUUUCCAACACUUGAAUGAUAAAAUUUUAAAAAUAUUGGGAGUAUUUCCUAAAAUCACUUCCAAAUGGAUUCGAAGUGUCUUCUCAAGAAGUGUUUUUUUCAAAAACACUUGCUAAGGUAAAAACGUUUCCUAGACUCGUUUGACAAACAAAAUCUUAUUGUAGAUCUCAUUUGAGAUAAGUUUUUAAAAAAAUGCUUUUGUUAAUUGCAUUUAUAAGUUAUAGAAAAAUUAGAGUUUGUUUAGUAGUGAUUCUAGGAAUCGCUUUUAAUAUUUCUGACACUUGAAAUUUUUUAUCAUUUAAAUAUUAGAAAUACUAGAAACGUUAUCUAAAAUCACUUCCAAAUGCACUCUUAGUAUGUGAAUAUAAACUAACAAAUAUGCUUUUAAUUAUUUUUUUUUUGUAAUAUCUUACAUAACAAAAAGUAAGUUUCCAAAAUUUUCAUUUUUAAAACUUCGUUAAGAGUGUAUUUCGUAGUGAUUCUAAGGAGUGUUUCUAGCAUUUGUAAUAUUUGGAAAUUUUCAUCCUUCAAGUAUUAAAAAAGUUAUAAACACUUCUUUUAAUUACCGUCAAAUGCACUCUAAGAGUGUGUUUGUUAGUAAUUCUAAGAAGUGUUUUUAGUAUUUUUAACACUUUUUAAAAAAAUAUAUUUCAAGUAUUAGAAAAAUUAUAAAUAUUUCCUAUAAUCAUUUUCUAACACACUCUAAAAGUGUAUUUGACAAUGAUUAUAAAAAACGUUUAUAAAAUUUUUUAUACUUAAAAAUUUUUAACUUUUAAGUGUUAGAAGAGUUAAAAACUCUUCCGAUAAUCAUUAUCAAACAGGCUUUUAAUGUCUUAUAAUGUUGGAAAAUCACUUGUAGUGUUUUCCUUGAUAGGUAGUUAUUUUUAAAACACUUAAAAAAAACAUUUUAAUUAAAAACACUACAAAUAAAAAUACUACUUCAUCUCCCUCAAAACCUUCUCCAAAUCCUUCCAAUCCUCUUCUUUCCCAAACAUCAAUUUUCAACAUUCCCAUUAUAUUAGGAAAGACUUUGUCAUUCCUAUCAAAUCCCUUGAAAACUUCGACUUUCGUUAGAUUUAAAACCCCUCUUAACAAAAAAUUUUCCUAAAGGUUCUCAUGGCUCGGUUCAGUCUUAUGGAUUGUAUGUUGGGACUAUACCCAAAUUUAGAUUAUUCCUUCUCUAUUUUCACCUCAUGUGAAAGAGUGGCAAAAAUUAUAAUUCAAUGCUUCACAUUUAUAUCAAUGGAAUUCAAAAUUGGUUCAAACAACAAACCAAGAAUUAAGUUUAUUGGACUUGAAUCCUUUUGAACGUCGUCUUUCUCUUCUAUAAAAAAAACUAUUCUAGAGAAAGAGGCAUGCGACAAAAUUUGAGUCCCAAUGGUUAAUAAUAUCCUUUAUAUUCUUCAUGUGUUAAUAUAUUGCUUUACACUAGUAAUAUUUUAUUUUUACUCCUUUUAAUCUUUUAGGUUAUGUUUGGUUUUCGAAAAGUACUAAAGAAAGAUAAAAAUAAAUAAAAUAUUUAAAAAAAUUAUUUUUCGCAUAUUGUAUUAUAAAAAUAUAAAGGAAAAUCAAAUAUGAUUAAAAUAAGUUAAAAAAUUAUGUAUUUUUAAAUUAUUUAAUCUUUUUAUAGAGAAGUUAAAAUAAGUAAAAUGAUUUUAAAGUAGUACAUAAAAAUAAUUUAUUGAUUUUCAAUCACUUUGCUAUUUUCCUCUAGGCAAUAUUUGAUUCUCCAAAAGUAAUAGGAAAAGAAAAGAAAAAUAGUGGUUAUGUUUGGUUCUCGGAAAAUACUAAGAAAAUAUAAAAAAAAAUGUCAAGAAAAAUAGUUUUUUCCUAUUUGGUUUCACCAUAAAACUAUUUAAAGAAAAUUAAAUAUAAUUAAAAUUAGUUAGAGAUUUAGACAUUUUAAAAUCAUUUAAUCUUUAUAUAAGGGAGAAAAUUAAGUAAAAUGGGUUUGAAGAAACAUAUAAAAAUAAUUUAUUGAUUUUGAGUCUAUUUUUUAUUUUCCUUCUUUUUUUUUUCCUUCCACUUUUUAUCUCUAUUUUCUUUUCCUAGUAUUUUUCCUUAAAUUCUUUGGGAACCAAAUAUAACCUCAAAAUAAUUUUCUCAUGUUUAGUUUUGCUAUGAAAAAUAUGAAAAAAAAAACCCAAAUAUAAUUAAAAUUAUGAAAAAAUUUAUACAUUUUUCAAUUAUUUAAUCUCUAUAUAAAAAAUUCGAAUAAGUGAAAAAAGUUUUAAAUAAUGUAUAAAAAUAAUUUAUUAACUUUAAAUCUAUUUUUUACUUUCCUUCUAUUUUUACUCUUUAUUUCAUUUCCCUUACAUUUUUCUUCAAACUUUCUAAGAAACAAACGUUGCCUUAAGGUUUUUUUCCUCCUACCUUUCCUCUCAAUUUUCUUUCCCUAACAUUUUCCUUCAAAUUUUCCAAGAAUCAAAUAUAGCCUUAGGUCUUAUUCUUGCUUUUAAAAAUUAUAAGAUAGGUAGUUUGAUUGUCUACCAAACAAGCAAGCUAUUGGAAGAAAAUUAUUUUUCUUUAACACCAAACAAGCAAGUUUGCUUUUGUCUUUUUAUUCAUGACAAGUAAUCCACUUAGUAGAAUACAAGAUCAAGGAUUCUUUGAGGAUUUGAUUCUUCUUUAAAACUAAUUUAAGUCAAAAACACGAGCGUUGAAUCAAGUAGUUGAUUCUAACAUUUGCAUUAUCAUUCCUUAUAUUUCUUAUAUUUGCACAUGCAUCACCCUAUACUUGGAAUAAAUAAGGAGAUUGACUUUUUUUUAAUAGUCCCUAAAAUGAUAAAGAGUAGAAUGAAAAAAAUGGGUCAUUAGGGAUGAUGAGAGUUAUUUGAAUUAUAUUAUUAUUAUUAUUAUUAUUAUUAUUUUAAUUGAUGGACUUUUACCCUUAAGACUUUUUAUAAAGACCCAAAUCUCAGGUGCUGAUCAUCUCAUAACAACCAACACCAGGUAAAUUCAAGGUAUUGUUAGUGGUAGAAUUUGAACGAACCAUAUGUCACUUAUUAGAAUCAUACUUCUUAGUGUUCGUCUUGACCAAUUGUACUACCUUGAUCAAUAAAAAACCUUAAUACAAUUUUUAUUAUUAAAUUGACAUGCAUUUUGUUUUUAAUAUGAGAUCAAUUUGGGGAUGUUUGUAUCAAAAAAAUCAAGAUAAUCUUCAUUUGUCUAUAAAGAUAAUCUCAAAAUGAAAAUCAUUUCGAGUUUUAAGAAAAUGAAAAUUCCUAAACUUUUGGAAAUGCUCACAGACACGAAGGUUCACACUCUAUAUUUUUUUUCAAGGGAUUUAAUUUAUAUUAGAGAGAUUAAUGUCUCAGGAUAAUUUUUUUAAGUUGAAGCUAAAAUUGCAAUUUUAAAAAAUAGUACUGACGUGAUAAAAAUUUUAUUAAAUAAUAUGAAUUUUUUUUCCAGUAUAAUCCAAAAUAGAGCUUCUAUAAUGAGCUAUUAAGUUCUUUUUUCCUUUUUUAACUUACGAGUCAAUUGAAUGGCCUUAAUUAAACAGAUAGAAAAGUUCUUAAUAAGCUCGGAAAAGACUUUUUAACUUUUUAAAAAUUAAUUUAAAUAUAUUGAUAUCUUUCCAAAUGAACAUCAUUAUAAUAUAUUCCUUUUUUCCCUCUCUCCAUAAGGUAGUAAAAUGGAACACAUUUUUUUAAACAUGGGAAGUCAUUACAAACAGAGACAAACUACAUUGAAGUAUAAAAAAUUGUGAAAAGAAAAAUUGCAUAUACUCCCCAACAAGAAAAGUUGAUGAAUUCUCAGUUAAGGAAAUGCAUGUGAGUUGACAUUUAAACUACCAACAACAAUAGUUAAUGCUACUACAAAACAUUCUAGAGGAUUCAGCCAAGGAUUUGAUUCUCCAUCACAAGCAACAUGGUCCUAGGAAACCAUUUAAUCACAUCCUUUCACAAAGUUUGUGGCUCCUCAUAUUUUAUGUGGCAUUAGUCCAGGUUGGGCCUAAUUUUAUAUGUAUAUGCAAUCAAAUAAUUGAUAUAGGUUUAAUUGUCCCCUUGACCAGUCAAAAUAAUUAUAGAAGUUAACUCAAAUUUUGGGUAGCGAAUAAUUCAUAAUGGAUUGCCAAAAAAUAUAUAUGUAUCAAUAUUUUUUAAUCAAUAUAUAUUGUUAGAAAAACUUUUAUUCGAUAGAUAAACCGUAUUUAUAAAAUUGAGAAAACAUGUGUAACACCCUUCCUUUGAUGGAAAGAUGACAGAAUAAGGGAAAUGCAAAUUGUGAAAAAUGAGUUAAAUUGAGACAUCUCGUUAAAUCAAAUUCUGCUACUAUAUUGAGAUUUCGAUUUUUUUUAAAGCUAAAACUUAUAGGAUUUUGGUUAAAUUUGUACAUCAUGCUUCUUAACAAAUGAAGCAAUAUGUUAUUAUCUUAAUUUAAAAAAAUUUCAAGGGUAUUGAUUCAAUGGUUAUAGAACUUGUAAUCUUGACCAUUGAGAGUGGAUGAUGAAUCUAGAUUAUUGGAUAAUGAAACGUGGAUUAUGUGCGAGAAUGAGAUCAAAUUUUUUACCUUACACGGUGUAAAUGGUCAUGUUUUUCAAUAGAGUAACGGGACCCAUUACUUCAACCUCAAGAAGCAACUCAUUGUGAUUAGUGGUUCCAUUUCGUUGGGUGGGGAGGACCAUCUUAAUUUGGCUCUAUCUCUAAGUGGUCUUGGGUCAAUUUUACCAUGUUUGUGGUUGUUUUACCCGGACUGAAGAUGACAUGUUCAUAGGGGUUGGUUGUAGUAGCCUAGGCCCUACUAGCAUGGGAGGAAAAGGGUCAAAAUGUGGCCUGUAAUUGCCAUUGACUUUGAAUUGAGAAGCCUAUGUUUUACAUUGACAGUGACCGCCCAUAAAUUGUUAAAAUUAAAAUGAGUUAGGCAAGUAUGCAAGUCUCAUUCACUUCAAUUUCAUACCCCACAACUAAUUUUAGGUUAGGGGAGGCAUGAAAUCAGACACCAAUCAAUCAUGUUUUGUUCUAAAAAAAAAAAAUUGAAGAAAAAUAUUAGAAAAAAGGGAUGAAAGAAAUAAAAAGUUAAUAAAUUAUUUUUAUAUAUUAUUUUAAAUUUAUUUUACUUCUUUACAUCUAUUAAAUGUCUGAAUUUUUAAUUAAUUUAAAUUAUAAUUGAUUUCUUUACUAUUUUUAGAGUAAAAUUAAAUAUUAAAAAAUUACUUUUUAAUAUUUUUUUUCUUUCGUUCCUACUUUCCUGAAGCCAAACAUAAGCUAUAAAAUUGGUUAAAAACAAAAUAAUAAUAUGUUUUUAUAAAUAACGAACACCUAUAGUAUAAGUUGUUCUAAUGGGUAUGAAUUGACAUAUUUUUAUUUAAGAUUUAUCUUAAUUACAAGAUACCAGGAUCAUGUAGCCUGAUUAAGUCAGAACUGAAUCAAGUUUGAUCUAUCUAAGUUGCUAGUAUAGUCGUGCAUCAUCAACAAAUUUGUCAAUUCACUUUGAAUGCCAAAAAUGCUUUUGAUUAGCCAAUCAAAAAGAAACUUGUAUGGCUUCUUAAAAGCCAAGUCAAACAGGACCUAAGAGUGUGACAAUAAGAUUAACAUCACUCAAGAAUGAGCUUCCAUUCCAUCACUUAAACUCAGUAGAGCUUAGGUUGAACUUAGUAAAAAGUACACUGCACCUACCUUAUUUUUGAAUCAAAUUCUUAAGAGGAAAUGAUUCAGGUAAUCAAAAUGAAAUUAAGGGUCAGUCUUUAACACUCAAAACCACUGUUCAAGCGAAUUAUUGAUAUGAUACCUCCUUGGUAUGGUAGAAUUUUUCUGAAAUUAAAGGUAUGAUAUUGAAGGUGAAGCCAGAACAAACUCUUCUUCUCUUCAAGCAGCCUCCCAAACUAGUAGAAUUCUCAGAGAUCACCUGCAAAAUAAAGUUGGGUGAAGCAAAGUUGGUUCAGCAGGCACAAGGUCACAGUGAAGAACAAAAAACAACUUAAUUUAAAAACAAACAAACAAAAUGGUUUUACCUGCACUAAAAUUUUCCUCACCCAUCCCUUCCAACACUUUAUCCAGCAACCUUUUAACAAGUUGGUACAUCUUGUACAGGAUCAACCGAAGAAGAAAUGGAACCAAAAUACUGGUUACAGAGCGAUGCUGUGUCCCCACAACUAUGUGCCUUAACAGAAUGACCAGUUAUUUCCCAGGAAGCCUUAUGCUCAACUAGAUUUAUUGUAAUGGUUACACGCUUUUGUGUGGAAAGCAACCACAUUAUCUCUUGGCUCAGAUGGCCUACUCCCACACCCUGCCCAUAUUGACCAACCAACUCCAUUUUAUGGAGGUAAGAGGGAUUUUGCUGCAUGUAGAGGUACCUCUAGCAACAUUAAAGAAUUUAUUUUUGUUUGUAAAGUUGGGGGUCCAAGUCUUUAGUGUCUUCAGAGCAACAGAACCAAUCUUGAUCUCUUAAAUAAUAGUUCAGAAUGACUAAUUGAAGUUCCCCUCAAGUCCUUCCUCUCAAUCUUUUAUUACCAAUUAUCUUAUCUUGCUCAUAUGAUGUACCAUACCAUCAUCUUGCUCAUUCUCUGUCUGAGCUUCCUCUGAAUAUGACACUGUUUCAUAUUCUCUUUUGUUUUAAGAUAAUACUUCCUCAGGAGUUUUUGACAAGGUGCUACUUCACCAAGCUAGUCUAGCUAGAUGCUGUUUAAACGGAUUAAGACCUCCACUAUCUAUGUUCCCAAGCAUAAAGGCUCACCAGUAAUCCUUACAAGAACACCCUCCCAUUCUAAAAUGGUGGAAUCUGUUCCUGUCCCUUAUAAUUAUUUCACGAUCAUAAACUUUUGAGAUAAGCUUACUUGCUUGGUGACAAUCUCUACAUAUCCGCAAAUUCUUAGAGAUGCGAAGAGUUUCCCCAGGCUUAGUCUUCAACAACCCAAAGGCAAUUGCAAGUUUCUCGCUGUGGUAGUAUAAGGGGUUCUCCUUUUCCUCCUCGUCAAUAUCAUGCAAUACCCCAUCAGUGUCAGGCACAUAACCAAUAGAUCUUAUAGUUUCUAAUAUCUCGUCAAGUUUGGCAUAUAUCUCUUUAGCUUGUGGGUGAGCCCUUCCUCCAGCAAUGAAUUCAUCUACACCACUUUCUGAUUCAAUCAUGGAAAAACCAGGAGCCUUCUUCACUCCUCUGUCAUUCAUCAAUUUUCUCACCUUAGCAACAUCUUCCCAUCGACCAGCACUGGCAUACAAAUUAGCUAAUAAAACAUAGCGGCCACUGUUAUGAGGCUCUAGUUCAAUUACUUUCUUUCCUAUUUGCUCACCCAAUUCAGUGUUUCCAUGGAUUCUACAAGCACCAACAAGAGCACCUAAUACACCUGCAUCAGGAUUCACAGGCAUCUCAUUUAUGAGCUUUCUUGCCUCCUCCAGCAGUCCAGCUCUUCCAAGCAAGUCAACCAUGCAUCCAAAAUGCUCCAUACCAGGCUUAAGACCAAGAACUUCAGUCAUAUAUUGAAAGUAAUGUUUCCCCUCUUCAACUAAUCCUGAAUGAGCGCAUGCACUGAGGACAUUCACAAAAGUGAUGCCAUCAGGGGCUACCAUCUCCCUCUCCAUCUCCUUAAAAAGCUCAAUGGCAGCCUCGCCUUUUCCAUGCAUUGCCAGCCCACCAAUCAUACAAUUCCAAGAAGAAAUUCCUUUUUGGGGCAACUCAUUAAAGACUUCGGAGGCCUUUUCCAAGCAACCACAUUUGCAGUACAUGUCAAUAACUGUUGUAGCAAGUUUUGAGUCCAAUUCAAUCCCACUCUUCUCAAUAUAUCCAUGUAUCCACUUCCCUUGCUCCAAGGCUCCUAAUCCAGUACAGGCUGAUAACAUACUUGCUGCUACAAAUUUAUCCAAUACCACAUUUUCCAAUCUCAUUCUAUCAAAAAGAGCAAAUGCCUCAUGCAAACGGUUACUCUGGACAUAAGCAGCAAUCAUGGCAUUCCAAGAAACAGAAUUUCUCUCAGGCAUCAAUUCAAAAACUUCACGAGCUUUAUCGACAAAACCCCAUUGCGAAUACCCCGUAAUUAAACUGGUCCAGGAGACAACAUCCCGCUGAGGCAUAUUAUCAAAAACCCUCCUUGCUUGCUCCAAAGAUUGAAAAUUCACAUACAUAUGGAUCAAAUUAUUCAAAGAAAACCCAUCAGCACCAAACCCGAAUUUUAAAACAUGUGCAUGUAUUUGCUUCCCUUCUUCAAUAGCGUAAUCAAUGCAACAAGCUCUUAUCAGAGGAGGGUAGGUGAAUUUGUUGGGUGAGACAGAUUUAUGUAACAUUCGGGAGUACAUGAAAAUGCAGUUUCUGGCAAGCUGCCACCGCAAGUAACCUCGAAAGAUGGUAUUGUAAAUGUAUGCAUCAGGGUGAGGAAUUUUAUCAAACACUUCGAGAGCAUAGUUUAAAUCACCUGAUUUGGAGAUAGCACAGAACUUUAUCACUCUGCCCAUUGCAUCAUUAUCUGCUGAAAGGCCAAGUCGGAUGAUUUGGGAAUGAUACUGCUUGAGCUCGGCCAUGGUUGAACAUGAAUCAAGGCCAUAUAAUGGCAAUUUGUGAGCCUUGGCAGAGCUUAGAGAGGGUGGGGAGGCUUGAAGGAGUUGGAGCGAGCUCAUAUUAUAUCUUUGGUUACUUUGUCUGAUGCCUUGCGACUGUUAUGGGAAAAAGAAUCAUCAGACACCAGUCUUGUGGACUAAAAACAUCCAAAUACAAUCAAAAGACGUUAUGACCAUGUUAGCUUCUUUCUCAAUGAUUGGAUCCAGCGAUGCACCAUUCGUUGGUAUGGACUCCACAACUUGAACAUUUCAAUAAAUAUUUGAGGUUUCCCAAGGAUAUGUUUGGUUUUUGAAAAAUUUGAGCGCAAAAUGUAGAAGGGAAGAAAAAAAAUGAAGGAAAUAAAAAAUAAUUUAAAGUCAAUAAAUUAUUUUUAUAUGCUAUUUCAAACUAAUUUAACUUAUUUUAACUUUUCUAUACAAAGAUUAAAUAAUUUGAAAAUACACGAGUUUCUAAUUAAUUUUGAUUAUAUUUUAUUUUCUUUCAUAUUCUCCAUAGAAAAACCAAACAUGAGAAAAUAAUUUCUUUUUUAGCAUUUUUUAUCUAUUCCUAGAACAGAAUCAACCUUAAAAGUAUGUGUUUUUUAUUUGUAUACUUUGGAAGAUAUUGUCCUUUUAUUGCAAAGACCCUUUUUUUUUAUUAUUAUUAUAACAGAGGAACCUUCCAUGGUUGACCCCUUGAGACUCUCCAUGGGGACCCAAACUUUAGGGCAUUCAACCAACAAUAGAAAUAUAACCCAAGACCAUGCGCCUUUAUCACACAUUCAAACAUUUGUCCUAACCAACCAGGCACCAUGAUGGGCUUAUUUCAAAGACAUUUAUCCACUAAGUUGGAUUAAAGAGAGCUGUAUUCUUCUCAAAAAUAAAUAAAAUAAAUCUGCUGGAAAAUAUUGUACUAAAAAAGAGCUUAAAUUGCAAAGUUAUCUGGUUGGUGUUCUAAUUAAUCAAUAGGGUUCUCUAAUAUGUUACUUGAAUAAAAUGUGUUUAAUAUAGCAGCCAUUUUAUGUUUGUAGAUGAUAAAAUUAAAAAUGUCACAUGCCUUAUAUUGAAUACAAACAUACAUAUUCAUACAUAUAAACCUAAACUAUAUGUUUUAAAAGAGUUUUUCAUUCUUACCCUAUAUAAAUGAGUCUAAACAUUAAUUUGCUGAUCCUUUUACCUCUUAGCAAAAAGACAAAAUAUAACUAGAAAAACAGACAUUUUUCUUUUUUGGUGCAAAAAUACAUUUCAGAGUACCUACCACCAAGCACAUGACAAAUAAGAUACCGUAGAAAUUAAUUACUUUUCUUGCUGUCUUACCUAUACCUCCCAAGAAAGCAGCUCAUCCACAAGGCAUGCCUUUACUUCUUUUGUAAGUUUACUAGAGAAGAAGUCUGAUGCAGACUCUAUCACUGUGCCAACUUGAGUUAUUGUCAGAGAACUCGUAUGUCUUACAGAUUAAAGCAAAAUUGUAAAUACGAAACCCAAAGGAUGUAACAUAAUCAAAUGAGCUUACACGUUCCAGAUUAACUCAUGCAGGACAGUAACUUCAGCAUGACACCUAGACUUGCCUGGGAGGAACCAUCUUCAAUUUUUAAAUCACUCUUCAACUGUAACAAUCAAGAUAAAACAGUCAAAGAUCAGUCUGAAAAAAUUGAAGUAACAAGCAACUCUGGGAAUGAUACCUUAUUCUAAAAUUGAUAUUAUUGUAGAAAAAAAUGAAAAUGUAAUAGGGCAUCAAGAUAAGACUUUUCAAUUUCUAGAUUGCCAUCUAACAAACAAUUGCGAGUUUGAUUCUUCUGUAAAAAAAUAUGAAUGUAAUACAGUCCAUCAUAAUGCAGCAUGUGGUUUUUAUUCUCAAAAGCAAAGGAAAAAUUAGUAAUUAUAUAACUAAAUUUUAUAAUUCAUUCCAAUGUGCAAAUGAGAUAAAUAUAUUUACUAAAUUCAAUAAAAGCAUGAAGAUAAUAUCACUUACAAAAGCUUCCCUUACUUAACAUGGAAUAUUACAGGGAAGGAUUGUUCUAAAUUUAAUAGUACUGUGACACAAAUGGAAUAAGGCAGUCCAUCCCCCAGUAACUGAUCACAAUGACUAAAUUUUGACUUAAAAGAAAUGCAAAUCUCUUGCUCUUUUACUCUCUUGGCCCUAUUGGGAUUGACUUCUAAGAAACCAAAAGUUCUAUUUUAAGAUCAAUAAGAGCUUCUGUGCCUGUUUGGUUAAUUUGGUUCAAAAAACUUAUAAUUUAAAAUAGAGUUUAAUAUGGAAUCCAAAAAACUGUCACUUUUUAUCCCUAUUUUGGCUUUGUAAGAUGCUAUUUAUGUUUAAUAAAAUUUUUACAAUACUAAUAUUGUUCUUUGAAAAUUAUGACUUUGGCUUCAGCUCUAGCUUCCCAUUAAAGCCAAAAACAGGAAAUUACCCCAAAUCAGCCCUUAGAUUCCUAAACUACCCAGCUCUCUCUCCCCUCAUUGGUUUGAUCAUCUGGAAUCCCACUUGGGAAUUUCAUUCCCCAAAAAUCCUAAUCCAUACAAUGAAUUAGAGCAUGGUUAUUUUGUUACCUCACAGAUUUCAAUUUUCUCCUCUCCACACUAGUUACCUUUCAUAUUUGGAGGACAAGAAAUAUUUGUUCUACCUAAUAACCUGUGAAGGUUCAACAAACUGUUCAAAAAACAAGUCAGAGAUAGAGGCAGAACCAAAUGGUAUCUACGUUCCAGUGAGAAUAUUUUCUUUAUUUUUUAUUUUCAUUUCUACCAAUUUCUCAUCAACCAAAAAUAUGAAUUAAGAGGAAAUGUAAGAAUUACACAGGCUUGUUUCUGUAAUGAAAUAAUGGAAAGGAAAAAAAUUGUAGGCGGCCAAAUGGAGCUUUAGGACAUGAUAUUCGUUGUGAAAUGUGAAAAAUCUAACAUGCCUACAGCAUCCAACAUUGUGAAGUUUAAAAAAGGUCUCCAGCUACUUGAAAGCAAGGGUGGUCAAAUAUCAGGCUGAUUGAAGAUCAAAAGUGGUUGUAGAUCAGGUCAAGUGGUUUGGUUUGGUUUGAUUUUGCCUCUCAAAACUCAUUCAACUGAACUAAGACAACCAGCCGCAGCAAGGGAAGAGAGACUUGUUCCAUAUUAGCUCAGCAGCUCAUCUUUUUUCUAGUGGGACCGUCCACAAGGAGCCCGCUGGCUCUAGCAUAGGAAAGGAUCAACAGGCCCAAUACAAAAUGUAAGAGUUUUGGGUGAUCUAGUGGAACUUGUCUAAGGGAGUGACUUAUGGGAAUAACAAGACCCUACUGAAUACAAAGUGGUGUCUUUUGAUUUGUUCAUGUAAUUUAAUUUUCAUGGUGUGCAUUAUUAGCUCCUAUUAAUCAAUCCUAUAUUUCACAUGUUUUUCAGAUAGCAACAUUGUGGAAUGGCUUCUAUUUUAUGUGGCAAUUUGUAUUUGAUUUGGAGAAACUUGGGUCCAGCGGUGUUAUAAAAGUCAUUUCUGUUUAACCAUCCUUUUAAAUAAUUAUCCAUGUGUUGGAGUCUGGAUGAAUUGAGUUUCAGGAGAAAUUUUUUUACUCUAUUUGCUUAAAUGGACAUAUGAGGAACUUCAUUUCUUAUAAUCAUUUGGUUUCAGAUGACUACAACAACACACUUACAUGGUAAAAAUAAAAUCUUUUUGAACGACAGAUGCAUCAUAGUUUACGUGAUUCACUGAAGUCAGCAAUCCAUCAUCAGCACAUAACUUCACAUCAGAAUACAAAUAUUGAAAUCCAAUAAAAUCAAAUUCUCAAUAUUAUCCUAGUAGACACAUGCCAAAAAUACACCUCCCCUAGCCAAUCAUAACACAAACCUCAAGAACCACUAGCAUUAUUACUAUUAUGAUUUUCUUUCUGUAACAGGAGGCAGUAACCUUUCUCACAGGAAAUAACCAAUAAGCAUUAAGGCUCAAUUUUAGUCGCACGAACUGAGGGGGGAAAGUACAAGUGAAGAGUAAAAGGAAAUGAGAAAAGGGAAAAGGAAGAAAAGAAGUUGAGUGCAAUGAUUUUUAAUUUUUUUCUAUUCCCUCCAAAUUUAUUCAUUUUCUAAAUAGAGAAUGAAAAGGAUGAAAAAGUAUUAAAGGUUAAUGAAUUUUCUUAAUAUUUCAUUGUCCUUAAUAUAUUCCAUUGCAUCCAAACAUGAGAAAGUGAGACUGCUUCUUAUUUGUUUUUUCUUGUCUAGCAGUUUUUGAGAUCCAAAGAGCAAAGAGAACAAAUGGUUAUUUCCGUCUAGUUUAUAGCCGUGUGAAUAUUAUGGAUAGAUGACCCUCAAUAAUUUGAAAAAAGUAAAGAAAGAUGCACAAUCUUAUCAAAAUAGCUGACUUGAAACUCUUCAACUGCCACAUGAAACAAUCUUUAUAUAUAUAUAUAUAUAUAUAUAUAUAUAUAUAUAUAUAUAUAUAUAUAUAUAGAGAGAGAGAGAGAGAGAGAGAGAGAGAGAGAGAGAACAUUUCUCAGUCCCUUGAUUUAUUUCCUCAACAAUCAGUGUAAAUAAAUCAUAUGCCAAAAUGCUAGGAACCCAAAUGGUUGGAGCUUCUAUUCUCUAAUCUUUUACAUCACAAUCACAUAAUAACGUCACCAUUAUUUCAUAUGACAAUUACUAAUCCACCUUUAAACUAUGUUUAAACUUUCUUCAAAACACCCAACAUAAGUUUUGACUUAGGAUGCCAUAUUCUAUUAAAUUGAAAGCAUAACCAAAACAACAUUGUCCCUAGCGCAUGCAAUGAUGUAAAAAUACCCAAAUGAUAUCAACCCAUAUUUUGCUAUCUUCAAUAAAUAGAAGACCAGCGUAUCAUGCACCCUUAGUGAUUAUCAGCUCUAUCCUGCCACAUACACGAUUACAGCAAUAAAACAGUGGCAAAAAAGGUUCCUAGUCCACAUCCCAUAUAGAAUUACACCCAGGAGAGAACAACCAGAAGUGACACUGGGUUGGUAAAUGGUAACUAUAUAUUUUGAUUCAUAAAGCCCAAAAGAAGCAACCCUUUCCAAGGAAAGCCUCCAAUCACAGAAAAAUACUGAAACCCUCUAUCUACAAAUGUACUUGUGGAAGGACAUUGGUAAUUGUCAGUUGACAGAACUAGGGAUUUAUCAAUUCAGCCAGUGCCUGAGUUAAAUGUGAAUACAGGAAGCAUAUCAACAGCGGAAAACUCAACCCAAUGUGUAUAUAGUGGAGAUUCCAAAUCCAAUAAUCAAGAAAUACAGUGUCAAUUUCAGGUGGGCGGAUGCAGAAAUUACAAAACUCAAUACAGAUAAAGUGAGUAAAGAAGAAGAAACGUACCCGAGAGCAAGAAAAUUAUGGGGAAGUUGGCAGGGAUCUGCCCCAAGCCAACCGAGAAUAAAGAGAAAGAAGGGAGGGUUGGGAUUGGUAGUGAGAAUAUCUUUGUUAUUAAGGCGAUGUGAAACCCAUAUUUCCUAGGAUAAGCACCAAGCAGUGAAGCCCUGCUUUGCUAUCCAUUCAAUUAUUAACCCAUCUGCAAUCCCAACUUUAAAUGGGCAGGAGAUAGGAUUGAAAAUUUUCUACAGAAAAAAACCAAGAAAAUAGGAUAAAUUAUUAUGUUCCAGAAUUCAGACUUUAUAGAACACUUUAUAAAUUUGAAAAUAAUUUGUGAGUGAUUUUUACAAUUUAUUACUAGAGGAGCUGAACAAGAAAUGCUUUAGCAUAAUCAUUCAAUGAGUUCAUUCAAAGAUUUUAUUUAUUUAUUUAUUUAUUUAUUUAUUUUAAUGCAGUGGGAUUAUCAAGGAGAAUGAUUUUAUUUAUUUAUUUUAAUGCAGGGAUUAUCAAGGAGAAUUGUAAAUUUAAGUGUUAAUAAAUUUUUAAAAUUAUUUAUAUAUUACCUAAUUUUUAACAAAAUUAAACAAAAAUAUUUUUUAUCAAAUAAAAAUACCAAUUAUUUAAUUUUAUAUAUUAUUAUUAUUAUUUUUAAAAUAAACAUAAGUUGAUUAGAAAAUAAAAUAUAAUAUAAUAAAUUUAUGAUAUUAAAUUUAUUUUUAAAAAAUAAACUAAAAUAUUUCAAAUAAAACAACAUAAUUCCAUAUUUAUAAAAAAAAAUUAACUCAAAUUUAAAAUCAUAGUUAUUAAUUAUGAUUUUAAAUUUAAAUUUAAAAAUCGUAAUUGGUGAUUAUAACUUUAAAAUUAAUUUUAAAAUCAUAGUCACCAAUUAUAAUUUUAAAUUUAACUAUUUAAAAAAAAAUUCAAAACUAUAAUUACAAAUUAUAGUGUUGUAUAAAGUAGAUGCUUAUGUGGUUGAAAUGUACUAAAUUGGGAAUUAUUUUGUGGAUCGAGCAAGUUUAUUGAUUUUUUUUAAAAGGGAUUAUUUUUUGUCAAAAAUCUAAGUUAAGGCCCUCAGCUUAUGAUGUGUAUUUGAUAUGGGGACAGAAAUAAUAUAAGAAUAUAAAUAGGAAGAGGAAUAAAUUAUAGCAUCAUGGGGAAAGGGAGCUGAAGCCUGAUAUAAGUGGAUUUUAAUUAGUGCAAAAUUUUAUUAUUAUUAUUGUUUUUUGUAAUUUUAAUAAAUUAUUCAAAAUCAAGAAAUGAAAUGAAUUUCCAAGCAUAUAUACUUAGAAAGGCCACAUGCCCCACUGUGAGAAUCGCAUUAUCACAGGCCACCAUGACGCUUCCCUCACCCUUCACCCCGCUCUUUUUCCAUUUCAACUUUGUCAUUCCACUGUUUCCUGAUGUCAUUUGAUUCAUAAUCCUGAACCAGUUAAGCAUAAGAAGAAAAAAUUUGGUGCCUAAAUCUAUUGGUUUCAGUGAAAAGAUCAACAUAUAGUUGUUGGAAACCGGCCAGCCCGGAAGAACUGAUCAUGUCCAACCAAAUUCAGGUUCACAAGAAGAGUCCAGCAAGAUGUUACUGCAAAGCAAAUUCCAAUGAAUGCUAUGAUCAGCAUUUUGGAUAUCCUUAAAAAAUUUAUAGAUAGACAAUGUUGAAUAUUAUGAUCAUGUCCUUUUAAGGUACUCCAUUCUUAUAAUAUUUAUACACGGAUGUCUCAACAACUUAUAAAACUUGCUUUCAAGCUUUCUGUGGCCCUUUUGCAUUUGCUUUACCAAGUGGAAGCUUAUCAACCUACCAUAUACAUCAAUUCCACCAGUACUGGCAUAAGAACCUCCUUGACAUCCAAACAUACACAAAUUCACUUCCAUAGCCCACGGAGGAAAUAUCAUUUUUCGAAGAAACAUGGCAAUACAUUUUAGUUGGCACCAGGGAUCACUUUUUCUGGUCUUUUGUUUUCUUGGGUUUCUUUCCUUCCCAGCUGAUGCAGCAUUAAAGAAGUAUCAGUUUGAUGUAAGUUCUUAAUGUUUUUUCUUUCCUAUUGACUAGGGUUCAUUCUCAUUCAUGAUCUUUAUUAAUGCAUCUACAAAUUGAAUUAUUAUAAGCUACCCUUCUUCUUCUUUGGGUCUCAGAUUCAAGUCAAGAAUGUGAGCAGGCUAUGCCAUGCAAAACCAAUUGUUACAGUAAAUGGGAUGUUUCCAGGCCCUACCAUUUAUGUUAGAGAAGGAGACCAAGUUCUUGUCAAUGUCACAAACUACGCGCAAUAUAAUGCUUCCAUUCAUUGGUAUAUAUGUUGAAUUAAGAUAUAAACAUUGUUGAUCAUACUUUGACAUGAAUGUCCAUUACAGUUAGCUUAAAUGCACAUAAACGCCUGCAAUUGUUUGUUUUACACAGGCAUGGCUUGAAACAAUUUCGCAACGGUUGGGCUGAUGGACCAGCUUAUAUAACACAGUGCCCCAUCAAAACUGGGCACAGCUACACUUACAAUUUUCAAGUCAUGGGUCAGCGAGGAACCCUAUGGGGCAUGCACACAUUUUAUGGCUAAGAGCAACAGUCUAUGGUGCCAUUGUUAUCAUGCCUAAGGAAGGAACUCCGUUUCCAUUCCCUCAACCUUACAGUGAGGCUAAUAUAGUCCUAGGUAGGUGGUAAUAUUGAUGAUGAUCACCUAGAAUUGUUUGAAAAUUUUCAAAGUGGAAUGAUCGUUUAACAGGAAGAUAUUUUGUGCAGGUGAAUGGUGGAAUUCAGAUAUUGAAACAAUGGUUAAUCAAGCUAAUAAGUUGGGCUUGCCUCCCCCUACCUCAGAUGCUCAUACUAUCAAUGGAAAACCAGGGCCACUCUUCCCAUGCUCUGAGAAGCGUAAAUAAUCACACUGUUUUUCUAUAAAUGCCUUUCUUCCCUAAUGUGAAACAGCUAAAAAGGAAAAUGAAAAUGGUUAGGCUGUUCCUUCAGUUAUGCUUGUAAAAUGACCUAGAUCCUUUACUUCUCUUGUUUCAGAUACAUUUGCCAUGGAGGUCGAGUCAGGUAACACUUAUCUCCUAAGGAUUGUCAAUGCUGCACUCAAUGACGAGCUCUUCUUCGCCAUUGCUGGCCAUAACAUGACAGUUGUGGAGAUUGAUGCAGUCUACACCAAGCCCUUCACAACCCAAGCUCUCCUAAUUGCACCAGGCCAGACCACAAACGUCCUAAUUAAAGCCGAUCGAUCUCCAAGUAGAUACUUCAUGGCAGCCAGGCCUUUCAUGGAUGCACCAAUCCCUGUGGACAACAAGACUGUCACUGCAAUUUUACAAUACAAAGGCAUCCCAAACACCAUUCUCCCAACACUACCCCAAUUGCCUGCUCCUAAUGACACUAACUUUGCUUUGAGCUAUAAUGGUAAGCUUAAGAGUUUGAACACUCUACAAUUUCCUGCAAACGUCCCUCUUCAAGUUGAUCGCCAUCUUUUUUACACUAUCAGUUUAGGACAAAACCCAUGCCCUUCCUGCCAAAAUGGAACACAGCUCACAGCUUCACUGAACAAUAUAACCUUUGUGGUGCCAAAAGUUGGGCUUUUGCAAGCUCAUUAUUCCAAUAUGAAUGGAGUUUUUAGAACUGACUUCCCAGAUCGCCCUUUUGCCCCAUUCAAUUACACAGGCGCACCACUUACUGCUGACCUCGGCACUUCCCUAGGAACAAGGCUCAGCAAGUUGGCUUUCAAUUCAACCAUUGAAUUGGUAUUACAAGACACUAAUCUCCUCACGGUUGAGUCGCAUCCCUUUCAUCUUCAUGGUACAACUUCUUUGUUGUGGGGACUGGGAUUGGAAAUUUUGAUCCCAAGAAAGACCCAGCUAAAUUUAACUUGAUUGAUCCUCCAGAGAGAAAUACAGCUGGAGUCCCAACUGGAGGUUGGACAGCUAUAAGGUUCAGAGCUGAUAAUCCAGGUAAUCCAAUGUUGAAAUACUACAUGCAUCUGCAGAAACCACUCUGAAUAUUAUGUUGCUUAAUAUUUGGAACUAAGAUUUUCAUUCAUUAACUAUAUAUAUUGGUUUGCAGGCGUUUGGUUCAUGCACUGUCAUCUAGAACUCCACACCAUGUGGGGGCCGAAGAUGGCUUUCGUAGUUGAGAAUGGAAAGUCGCCAGAAGAAUCUGUUCUACCACCGCCGGAAGACCUUCCGCCCUGCUAGAUAUCGCAUACCAAGGAGAAAUCUUGAUUGUCACUUGGCGGAGCUUCAGUCUCUUCUGCUUUUUUUUUUUUCCCCUCUUCUCCUGCAGAAGUUGCAGUAUUCAUUCUCUGAGAAUGUGAAUCAUCGAAUCCAUAAUUGAAUAAAUUAUUUUAAAACUGUUUCGAGGAUUUUGUCAUCACUGUCCUAGAAAAUUAGAAAUAAAGGUUUCCCAGGGCUUAAGUGAUCCAGCUCGCAGUCCAAGGUGAUCUGAUCUAAUUAAGAAAAAUACCUUUCCUUAUCAUUUAAUUCAAAUCACUCCAAAGUCCAAACCUUUAUUUUUAUACACGUCUUUACUAAAAAUUAGGGAUGUAAGGGGGUCGACCAAGGAAAACUCCUAUCCUGAUCCCGCCUGUAAAAUUAUUGUACGUCCAUCCCCUUUUCAUCUUAGUGUUUGUUUUUUAAAACAACUUGUUAUUACAUUUCAAAUAAUUUUUUCUUUUUGAACUUUUUUGUUUACUUAUUACUUAUGUCUUAAAUUUUUUCAUCCAAUAAAACAAAAAUCAAAUAUUUAAUUUUUUUUCUUAAUGCUAAGAGUGAACCACCAUAAAUCAAGUGAAUUGAUUGAUUUUUUUUUUCUUAUUUUUUAAUACUUAAUAAAAAUAAAAAAUUAAAUAAAUAAAUAAUUUAAUACUUAAUAUUAUCAAACACUAUUUUUUCUUAAAUUCUAUUUAGAAUUAAGUAAAAAAAAACAAAUAAUAAUGUGUGUUUCUUCUUCAUGCUCGAAGUUGCUUUUUCCAAUUUUUAAAGGUUGCAAAGUCAAACAAUAAACUUAAAAGUAAAUAAAUAAAUAAUCUAAGGCGAAUUCCAAAUAUUGACCGGCUCAAAUGGAAUUUAAUUUCCAUACAUUCAAGUCAAGUUUGAUAUAAUAAGUACAUUCUAGAUAAGCAAGGAAAUGGGUCAAGCCGAGCCGAGAAUCUAUCUCUAAGCCCAAGCCCAAUCUAAGCCCAUCUAUUUAAUAAAUAUAAUUAGAUUUUUAAAUGCAAAUAAUGUAAACUUUUCGCAUAAUUGUCAAGAAUAAUAAUGACUCUUCCACCUUUUAAAGGGCUCAAACCUAUCCUUUGCAUAUUAUUUUUGAAUUUUUGGAGUUGUUAGUGACUAGGCUAGGCUUGGUCCAACCCAAUGGUUGGGUGAAUUUUUGGGGGGCUUUAAUACUUGAGUUGGGCUUGGGUCGGGCUUAAAUAUAGGCUCUGCAGCUUUAGUCCAAAGCCUAUGGGCUAAAUUUGUAUCUGUAAUUACAAAUAACAUAAGUUAGUUGUAUUUAUAUUAAACUUUAGGGGAGGUUAAUGGAAUUUUAUGUCUUAUUCUCUAAGUUAUGAAUGUUGUUCAAAAUUAAAUGGGUGUUUAGGGUCAAUUGUACAACUAAUAAUCAUGCCGAAAGAUUUACAACUAUGUUAGGGCCAAAGGUUUUUAGGAGACAAAUCGACCUUAGAUGAUUUUGAAACGUUCAGUGUAGUAGUAAAGCCCUUAUCAUUUGAGUUAUGUUUAUCCAUGGAAGAAAAUAUCGGUAAUCACGGAUAUAUCGGUAUUUCGAUUUUACGGAUAUAUCGGAGAUAUAUCGGUGGAUAUUUUGGAAAAAAAUAUCGGUAAGCUUAAAAUUGUUAAAAACUCAUGAAAAUGUAAGGAAAACCUCAUAAUAAUAUAAUUAGAAAUAUAAUAGACAUUUUAAAGUUAUUUUAUUGAAAAUUUUGAUAUAUGUAUAACAUGAUUUAUCAUAUUUAAUAAUAAUGUCGUAUGCAUCGAUAAAAAUAUGAAUUUUAUAAGUAUACAUUUAUUAUUAAAUUACACCUAAUAUUAUGAUAUUUGAUUAUAAUAUGUCUAAUUUUAAAAUAUAUAUUAGUAUUAAAAUAUGAUACAUUUAAUUCAAUUGUAUUAAAUAAUAUAAAAUAAAUAAUGAUAUAUAUAAUUUUUUAAUAUUUAAUUAAUUAUUAAUGAUAUUAAAAACAUUAUGAAGAAAAUUAUAUAAUUUUUAUAUUUUUGGUAAUUAAUAAAAAGACUUUGCAUUUAAUUAUAAAAUAAUUAUAAUUAAUUUGCUCUUAAAAAUAUUCUUAUAUUUUCUUUAUAUAAUGAAUUUAAGUAUAUAUAUAGUUGUAGCGGGUCUGACUUUCGUUGACCCGCGUUGACCACGCGAUAUAUCGCCGAAAAAUCGGCGAUUUAUCGCCAAAUCACCUAUAUAUCGCGAGAAAUAGGCGAUUUCUCGCGAGAAAUCCCGAAAUAUCGCCGGACCGAUAUUUCUCCAUGAAAUAUCGUGUCGAAACCCAUCGAUACACGAUAUUUCGGCGAUAUAUCGCCGAAAUAUCGCGAUAUUUUCUUCCAUGUGUUUAUCUUAAUUAGCAAUUACUUUCAAUUAGAACAUUCAAUAAAUCGAUGUUAACAUGUUUCUUAAUGGAGAAAUUGCAAGAAACUAUGUAUACAACACAACCAAAAGGAUUUGAAGAUAAUUAAGUUAAAGCCUUAGUAAUUUUGUAGAUUGCAUAAACUCUUUAUGGACUUAAACAAACUCUUAGAGCAUGAUUUAACAAAUUUAAAGUUGUCUUGUUGAGUUGGGGUUUUGUCAAUUCUACAUCAUCUACGUUCUUUUUUCCUUUCGUAGAAAAAAUAAAAAUAAAAAUAAAUAAAAACUACUUCUUUUGAUACUCACUAAAGAAUAUGUUUCUUUGGCUAGCAAAUUGGUGACCAAUUUGAAUAUUAAGUUUGCUCUUAAAACAUUAUAAUUGGGAUAGUUCUGGUCUUUUUUGAAACUAGUAAAUGCUCACUUAAGUUGAGUACAAGAAAAGAAAAUAAAAUUAUCAAAGCAUUGCAAACCUCUCUUAUUCAAAAGCCCAAGAAAAGAAAAGAAAAUAAGAUUGUCAAAACAUUGCAAACCUCUCUAAUUCAAAGCCCAAACAUCCGGUGAAUAAUAAUAAUAAUAAUAAUAAUAAUCACAAGGAAAAUAAAUAUAAAAAUAUUACCUUUCUUUUUUAUCUUAAAUAGGGAAUUUCCCAUUUAAAACUCUUACUAAAUGAAAAGAUUAAAUCCUCAUUUAAGUUGAUUAUUAGUAUGGAAAAUAUUAAAUGUUGAAUUACCUUUUAAGUUUGUGAUGGUAGGAAUGACUUCCUCAAAUAAUUAAAAUCCUAACUAAAUGAAAAGAUUAAAUUUUCAUUUAAGUUGAUUAUUAGUAUUGAAAAAGAUUAAAUUUUAAAUUAUUUUUUAGAUUUGUGAUGACAAUUUCAGGAAUAACUUCUAUUAUGUCAAAUAAUUAAAACUUUAACUAAAUGAAAAGAUUAAAUUCACAUUGAAGUUGAUUAUUAGUAUUGAUAAGGGUAUUUUUGGAAACAAAAAAGUAACAAACACCUCCUACUUUUAUAGGAUUAACCUUUUCCUUUGUAGUUUCUUGAAAAGUAGUUUUAAAAUUGAAUUUGAAUACAAAAUCUAAAUGAAGUUAUGAACAUACAAGAAAUUAAAAUCUUAAAUUAAAUCCCUAUUAAAAUAAUUGAUGGAAUAGAAAUUGAUGAUAAAUAAAAAAAAUAAAUUUUCAAUUACCUUUUAUUUUAUGAUGACAAUUUCAAAAAUGGUUUUUAUUACGUCAUGUAAAUGAAAAAAAUUAAAUUCUCAUUUAAGUUGUUUAUUAGUAUUAAAAAAAAUUUAAAUUUUGAACUACCUUUUAAGUUUGUGAUGAUAAUCUCAAUAAUGACUUCUGUUACAUCAAAUAAUUAAAAAUCUAACUAAAUGAAAAGAUUAAAUUAUAAUUUAAGUUAAUUAUUAGUAUUGAUAAAAGUAUUUUUGGAAUAAAAAAAUGACAAACACUUCAUACUUUUAUGGAUAGUAUAGAUUAGACAAGUACAUUCAUGACCUAUUGCUGAAAACCAAUAUGGCUAAUACUAAGUUCAGUUCAAUACCCAUGUGCUUAGGCAAGAGAUUGCCUCAUAAUAACGGUACUCCGUUUGAGCAACCCUCUAUCUACAGAAGUAAGACAUGGGCUUUACAACAUUUGACCAUGGCUACACCAAAUAUAGAUUUUGUUGUCAACAAACUCAGUGUAACCAUUGGACAACUUAACUUUGCUACAUUUGCUCGAUUGAAUUUAGAAGGGUACUCUUUUGUUGAUUAGCCCAACUCUCUUGACUACAAAGGAUUGAUCCGCUAGUAGCCACUGUUUUUCUAGGAGGGAAUGAAUUUGAUCGCUAGAGAGAUAUGGAUUGUUGCAAGAAGUAGCAUCGAAAUGAGAGCAUUAGGCCCUAUUUGGUAAUGGUUUUUAAAACAGCUUUUUGUUUUUCAAAACAAAAAGAAAUAUUUAGUAACCAAAAAAGCCAAAAAAAAAAACAGUUUUUUGUUCUUGAAAAUAAAAAACAUUCCAUUAGGAGUUGUGAAGGCAUACUCACUUGGCAAACACUUAUUUCCCUUAGAAAAGUAAGUUACAUGGAUUCAUGGGUACCUUUUAUUUAAUUUAAUUUUUUAUUUUUAAUUUCACGAUUAAAACAAAAAAAAAAAAAAACAUAUGGAUGUAUCAAGUUCCUAACCCUUCCUCCAAGUUGAUUUUCACAUAGCAAUACAACUACAAGUUGAUUGAAAGAAACUACAACGAGAAAGCAGUACAUACUGAUCCAUACCCUCCUCCAGUCUGCUUCCUACUCAUAGAACUUGAAGGUAAAUCACUUUCCACAAAAUACUAUAUAUGCAUACAAAAGCUUGAGCAUCUGACACAGCACAAAAUGAAACCAUCUCCUCCCCAAUGGAUUUGACCAAACAUUCAUCAGCUAAUAGAAUGGGUCAAGCGCUCGAAUGAAAGGAGCAUUUCAAAACAAAGCUGACACUGUUGACUAGGAAGAAGGAACUUAUCAUUUCCAUUUCAGAUCCAAACUAACAGCACCCAUGUCAUCACACACCAAAAUAUACGGUUCUACUUCUUAUGCCCUUUUAUUAAUGUGCCCAUUUGGAGAUAUAAGAGAUAUAGGGAGAAUAUCAAAACAGAUAGAGAGAGAGAGAGAGAGAGAGAUGGAAACAAAUUCAAGUCCCCAGAAAUCAAUCAGCAGCUCAUAUGCAUAAGGAGCCUUCAACUCAACAAGUCUAUGAAAAGGAAAGAACCUCCCAGCUUAACUCAGUCACAAUUAAAUGACAGACUAAGGUUCCAAGAUGUGUAAACCAUCAUAAGCUAAAAUUGCAAUACACACAAAAAUUUAUACUGGAAUCAAGUCAAUUGACAAAAACUGCACUAAGAAGAGCGAGAAGCAGAGAGUUUAAGGCAUUCACUUUGACAUCUCCGAAGGCAAAUAUCAUUCCAGUUGGGUACUUGAUGCUGGUUAACACAGACAGUCCGGGCACAAGCAUCAGAGCAAGCAUCUAGCUCUGAUACACCACAAACAGUAACACAAGUAUCAUGACUCGGGUCUUUAGAGAAUGUACCCACCUUCUUCAACAUUCUUUUUGAUGUACAGACCCUCUCACAGACAAAUAUCUCAUCAGAGGUCUUCUCCCUCCCCCUGGCACUCUUAAUUCUCUGCUCUUCAGCAUGCCUUCUUUUCAUUCUCAAAGCUUGCCCUGCAACAAUGGCUGGAAUAGCAGCCCCCAACAGGGACCACCAUACUUCCACCAUCUGCAGAGAUUAGGUUCUUUCCUUUUGUCCUCUUCUUCUGCACUCUAACAAAAGAGAAAAUACUUACAAACUAAGUUGUUCAUUUGUUCUCUCCAUAGUGUUAGUGGCUUCUCUAAUUUAAGAAAACUUAGCCUACUUUUUCAGCAUGAAUAAAGUUAAUGGUCCAAGAACUGAGAUAAAUCUACUACACACAUACAUAACAUUGUUGAAGUAAAUAGCAUAUCAUAGGCUGAAUACAUUUUGAAGGAUAACAGAAACAUCAAAAGAAGUGUCUCCAUGCUAUAAAGGAUGUGUACGAGAUAGAGCUCCAUAUGUGAAAUUUAUUAUAAAAUCUAUGGUGUAUGAGAGAGAGAGAGAGAGAGAGAGAGAGAUGGGUUGGUUAUUUCCAUGAUGGGGGAAGGGUGUUCAAACUAGCCAGUGAAGAGAACAGUAUUAAUAAUGGAAAUUCCUUCAGGGCUGUGAUAUAUAUGUAUGUAUGAAUGUAUGUAUCACUAUGCCUAAUAGAGUAGUGUAAGUAAUGCUGGCUAUGGCAUCAUAAAAAUUAGAAGAAAGCCACCUUGUGUAAAAAAAUUUCCUAAAAACACCCACGAUAUUGUCCUUGAAAUCACAUUCGAACAAAUAACCAUAAAAAAUUUCACCAAAAGCCUAAAUACCAUGCCUUAUGAAUUAGAUCCUCCAAAACAAAAACUAAUUCAUUUUUCUUCUUUUUGCUUUGUACUCUUUUUUUUUCAAAAUUAAUUUAUUUAUUGGCAGAAUCACACACUCCAGACAAGAACACACUGCUCUGUCUAAAAUUCAAAUGUAAUCAAACAAAAAUAGUUUGAUCUCAAGGAAAAGGAUAAACCAUGAGUUAGGUCACAUUUGCUUUCCCAUUUAAAAACUUUUCAACCCAUGUCUGAAAUCAAUGUUUUCCUAUACCAACAAAGCGAAAACCACAGUUCUAUUAUACAAUCCCAAAACUAGUUAUUCAUCCUAAGAGAUUCUGCCAUCAAUAAUUUUCACUAGUUUCUAAAAUUUUUUCCCACAGUAUUUAAGUCAAUACCCAUUUUUAUGGGACUACUACAAAUCACAAAGACUAUCCCACCAUUACUUGCAAUUUUUUUUUAAAAAAAAAAUUAUUGUAAAAUGAUAAAAGGUUCAGACCCAACUCUCCAUGGAUCUUGCUUCGUAUAUAAUCUAGAUUAUCACUGAUAGAAGAAGACCCAUUAAACUAAACUUAAAAAAAAAACAAAAACAAAAGAAAUGCGGCAAAACUUGGAAUUGCAUCAAAGAGUAAACACCCAAAUCAAUUAAAAUGCGGCAAAACCCAAUAACAUAUGAAAAAGUGAACACCCAAAUCAGUAUAAUCAGUCUCAAAAAAACUGCACACAACGACAAAAUUGAAAUGACAAAUCCAAUGUGAAAAAAGUUCAAUUUUGUGUAUGGAAUAAUUACCCUUGAUCAAAACCAUGGUUUCUGCAAUUUUGCUUUAGAAAUUAUCAUUUAUUGUGAAAUUUCAUGUCGGUAAAAGGGUUUCCUUUGGAAAAUGAUGGUGGGUUGCUGGGGGUUUAGGGUUAGGGUUUUUACCUGGAAGUCUGGAACUGAAUGACUCGGUUCUUCUCUCCUCUGAUGCCCACGGUACAAGCGGCCUUUACACUUCCCAUUUUACAAAUGGUUAUUUAAUUAAAAACCCCUUCUUUUUGUUUUCCUACGUAUUUCUUUUCGUGGUUCACCCUUAAAAACUAGGGUUAUUAGAUUAAUAGCGUAAGUGAAGACCCAAUUUUUAAAAUUUAACCAUUUUUAGUUUUUUUUUUUUUUGUCUAAAAAUAAAAAUAUCCUUACUAUUUUCUUAUAAAAAUAACCUUUUAUUUUAUGUCAAUAGUAUCAAAUUUAUUAAAAUAUUUUUGAUGAAAUGUUAUACGAAAUAUUGAAAAAUUACAUUAUUUAAUAAAUUUUAAAAAUAUAUUAAAUUUUUAUUUCAAAAAAUAAAAUAAAAAACCAAUUUUAAUUUUAGAAAUAUAAUCUAUUUUUAUUUUUUAAAAUAAGAAAUAAUUCUCAAUUACAUCACCAAUAUGAAGGAAGAUAAAAAAUUUAUAAAAUUUUUUGAAAGACCAAUUUCAUUAUAAUUCUUUAAAUUGAAAAGAUCUCAUUGUGAAACAAAAAUGUUAAAAAUAUGUUAUACAUUAGGCUGCAACUAGAGUUAGUCGAGUUUAUGGUUAACUUGAGUUCAAUCCUAAUUAAAAAAUAAUCAACUCAAGCCUAAUUCAAUUUGUUCUCAAAAUCAAUAUAUUCAACUCAUUCUCAACCUAAUCUUAUUUCUUUAAACUUGAGUUGAGUUUAUAUUAAUUAAGUUGUAUAUUCAAAAUCCAUAUCUAUAUUUUUUUUUUAAAAAAUUAUAUAUUUAUAUGAAAAUAUAAACCUUAAAUAAAACAAAAUUUUAAUAUAACAACAAAAAAAAGUAAAAAAAAAAUCUAUAUCUUUUUAAAAUAAUAAAAAAGUAUAUGAUAUAGUAAUAUAAUUUGACAUUUUAAAAAAAAAAUGAAAAAGAAAAUGAAUAUUAUUAUGAAAAUUUUAUCUAUUCUUUCCUUCUUUUCUUUUUCUAUAAAUAAUUUCUUUAUUUAUAUAAAAUUAUAGAUAAAAAAGCAUGCCUAGAUUAUCAUUUUUUUUUAAUUAUAUUUUUGGAAAGCAAAACAGGAGUUCAUUCUAACCAAUUGGCCACCCAUGGGUCUAAGCUUAACUUGGGCCUAGGAUUGAGACCAUCAGAUCGGCUCCCAUGUGAAGCCAGUCAUUCAAAGUAAUUCGACCUUGUGGACCCAGGAUUGACAUGUAUUGGGUUGAGCUUCUUGCUUGGAGCCUGGAGGUGAAAUGUAUUGGUGGCCCAACUUGAAGAAAAAACUUGGGUUGGGGUCGAUGGAGAUGUAGGCCUUGUUUGAAUUAACUUAUGAGAUGUCGAAUAAGUUCAACGAGAGUUUCAAUAUCUAUUUAGCUAAUUUUGUUUAAAGGGCUCAUAGCUUCAAAAAUAAUUUAAUAUAAAAGUCGGAAAAAUAUUGUUUUUGAUAAAAGUUUAAUUUUGACUUAUAUAAAAGAUAUGACUAUGGAUGGAUAUUCUUUCGCUAAAUUUCCUGUCACAUAUCGUUAGUUAUUAAAACAUUUAUUUACAUGUUCUUCAUGAUAAAAAUGUGAUACUUGAUAUACAUACUAAAUGCAGUGAUUGACUAGAAAAUUAAAAGUAUGACUCUUGUAAUUAAUUCAAUCUUUGAAUCCAUCAUUGUUAGUUUAUUUCAAUUUUCAUCUAAUUAAUAUUUUGACUUUUUCUAUUAAGUUAAAAGUAAUGUAUCGAUAUCAACCAAUAAAAACAAAGUAAAUUUGUUAUUAAUAAGUUCAAUUUAGUUAUAUUAAUUGAUAUUAACUUGUUAUUUUUAGGCAACAAAAUAUUUUGACUUUUUCUAUUCAACAAAAAAACAAACACCGCCUUAAGGUCUAAUUUUCCACUUUAGAUUUGGAUAGUCAAAGCUAGUAUUGAUCAGUAAGUGGUUGUCAUAUUUAUUCUAAUUUAUUGUAAAUAUGUAUCAAAAGUAUUUUUAAAAUAAUUCAAAAAUUCCAUCAAAAGGGACCUUAAUUUAUUAAAAAAAAGUAAUAACCAAUUUUGUUUAUAGAAAUCGUCUUCCUUCCAAAUGAUGUAACCCAUUAUUUGACCAAGGAAUUAAUAAGCUUGAUUGCUUCACCAAAUGAUUAGUGGGCAAGGCCUUCAAAGGGUAGAUUGAAGUGGUAAAGUCUCCCACUAAAUAAAGAAAUUUGACAACCAAUUUUUUUUGUUUUUUUUGGUGGUAUUUUCCAAUGAGAAAAAGGCACUAGACCACCACUACAAUGUAGUGUUAUCUUUGUGUCUCUAGGGAUAUGGAUGAGGCACACUAGUUAUAUUGCAUUCUUAAAAUUUCUUUUAAAAUAAAAAAAAUAAAAAAUUGGGGUUUAAAAGUUUUUUCAAGUAUAAUACCAAAAUGGGGAAAAGAAAAAAAAAGGGGGUUGGAAGUUCAACAAAAAUGGAAGUGAGUGAGAAGAAGCCUAAUUUUCUUCCAUAACAUUAUAGGAACAUAGACAGCAUGAUACAUGAUACAUGAUACACUACACUUUUACUUGCAUAAUUCCAAGGGAAAAAAAACAGCUUGGGAAUUAAUUCAAGAAAAAGGAGAUUGGGAGGAAGCUUGUAAAGUCCAGUCAUAGUCAUAAGGAACCAUGAGAGGCAUCUGGUUGUAGUACCCCACACCAGGGAUUGGAUGGUUAUGGAUUCCUGUAUAUGUAGUUAUCACAUAGCUUGAAUCUUCUAUGUCCCUUUCUAUCCUCUUCUUCACUUGGCAGUCUCCACUUGAACAUCUAUAGUAGUUCCUGUUAUAUGUACAUCAAUUACCCAUCUUAAUAUAUACCAAAAAUCAUAACUGUUGAGAAAAAUAUGGAAUGGUUUUUUUUGGAUUUUGGAAUUAUUUUGAACACCCAAGAUGCAACCCUAACUAUUUUUGAAGUAAAAAGAACUUAGCCCACUAUUUUUGGACUCUUCUUCUUUCCAAUUAAGGUAUGUAUGUUUGUAUAUGUCCCCUAAAAACAAAAUUAAUUCUACAUUGUUUAAUUAAUUCUCUUUAUUAAUUAUUCUAAAACCAUGAACAAAAAAAGAUUGAUCAUCAUAUGUACCUUGGAUUUGGGCUGCUCUUCACCAUCUUUUUCCCAUACUUCCUCCAUUUAAAUCCAUCAUCCAUGACGUCCAGCUCUGAUUUCGUCCUAAAAGCAACAACUCGAGCCCCAUCAUCACUCUCCUUUGAUCUCCUCACCCCAUCUGAAAAUACAAGUACUAUUUCUUAAGUCGUCAUGCAAAAUCAAUAAGAAAAAGGAAGAGGAUGGAGAUUAAUUUCAUUUUCAUGUUACCAUGUGUAGGAGUUGCAGUGUGGAUCAGCUGAUCAAUAUGGCCAGUACCUGUAACUGUUACGGCCGAUGCUGCCGCCGUAGUCUGCGAGCAUGAAUCUUCCUCAGAGCCAUCUUCGAGCAUGAGAUAAUGGUAAAGGAAUUCAAACUGGGAAGCGCAAUUAGGGUCAGGGCUGGGGUUGGGGUGAGGGUUUGGAGGAGAGGAGGAGGAGGAGUAGUAGUAGUCCAUUGUAGGAAGGUGGCAGUGAACAUGCAAAGCAAAGCAUAAUGAGGAGGGUGGAGAGUGGGAGCAAAGUCGUAUAUAUAGAUAUGCAUUUAAUAGUAAGUAGAGUUGUAGAGAAAGGGGUGGAUACUUCGUGGACACUUUCCCGGAGACAACAAUGAAGGUGCUUGACUAAGUGAAAAGUGUCACGUUUCAGACUUAGGCGCCCCCCAUGAUGUCAAGCCAUGAUGUCUGCUAUACUUGCUGUGGCUGCUCUCUCUCUCUCUCUGAUGGGACCAGUCCACCCAAAUUUUAUUAAAAAAUAAUCUAAUUCUUAUCCAUACGGCAAUCAACCUCACACAACCAUAAUUAAUAAUUAUAAUUUUGAAUUUCCUUUAAAAUAAUUAAAAUUAUAUUUAACAAUUACUAUUAUAAAUUUAAGCUUAAAAUCAUAAUCGAUAAUUACAAUUUUAAAAAUUGAAGUCACCCACUACAAUUUUUUUAUGUUUAAAAAAAUGAAAGAAAAUUUAAAACCAGGAUUCUUAGGUUUUGUAACUUGUAACGUAAAAACCAAAAAUGGACUAAAUUUUAAAUUACCAGGAGUAUAUGACAAUGAGUUGUACUGAGCUAGUAUAAUUAUGUAGCAAGUUGUUCUUAUAAUUUAUACAUGUCACUGCCCAAAGAAAGGUUAAAACAUGGUUGGCCACUUCCAAAAAGUUGUCAUAUAUACCAUGAACAGAGUGGAAAUAUAAAUUAUUCCAAUAAAAAAAAUAAUAACAAAUUUAAUUUUAUAAAAGAGUGGGAAUCGGUUCUGAUACCGAUUCUUGGAUAAAUUUUGAACAUCUUAUUUUAAAAUCAAUUGAUACUCGAUACGAAAAAUCAAGCUUUGAAUUGAUUUAACCUGAUAUGAGUUUCAAAAGUCUCUACUCCAAUGAAGUGAGGUUAGUGCAUGUGAUCUUGAGUCCAAUAGUUAAGAUAGAAAAUUAUGAAAUUGUGCAUACUUGAUUGGAAUUGGAUGUGGUUGUAUUGAUGACUUUCCAAUGAAAAUGGGCUAAGGCAAGUUCCUAGUCAAAAUGAAUGUAGCUGAGCUCGUGUAAGUGUCAUUAUCAAGCUAGGGAAGCAAUAACUAGGAAAAGCUCUGUACCACCACAAACCAGUUCUAUUUUGGAAUGAGAUGAUGUUAGAAGGUUCAAAGAAAUGUCUUGUGUCAUGAAAAUCAAUCCUCUCAUCUGGUCAAUUUUUUCCUUCUUUCUUUCUUCUGUUUUUUUUCUAUGUUCAUAUUCAUUGGUGGUUUAAUAUGCUUUGCAAGAAAAGAAAACAGUUGGGAAGUAGCUGGGCAGCUUCACUUGAGCACAUUGUCAAGCCCAUAGAAAAAGACAUUCAUGGGUUCUUCUCCCUCAGUUUAAUUUGUAUUUAGUCGACUUUGUUUUGAAAUGGAGCAAGACAACAAACCCAAUUUCUUAAAAUAGACAUUGAAGCUGAUGGGUGGAAAACUGAUUUAUGAUGUUUUGUAAAAUCUGAAAUAUUUUAAAUAUUUUUAAAUGUGUUUUAAAAAUAAUUUUUACAUUAAUAUUUUAUUUUUAAUUAUUUUACAUAUUCGUAUAAUUAUUUUUUAAAACACUAGUUAGAAAAUAAAUAAAAAAUAUUUUUAAAAACAAUUAUAUUUUAUACUUUUAAAAAUAGAAAAUAAAAAAUUAUUCUUAAAAACAAUUGCCAAACAUGACUUUAAUUUCUUCACUUUUUUUUUUUUCACAUUUUCUCUUAAAUUUUAUGAGAAUCAAACAUAAUAAAAAUAAAAGUUAAAAUUUUUUAAGUUUUAAUAUUUAGACAAAAUCUCUUAAAAUAAGAUCUAAUUUAAAAGAUAAACAAUACUAAAACAUGACCGACUUCAAACAAAAAAGACACAAAAAAAAGAAGAAAAAACAUAUCUUAAAACAUUAAUAAUAAAGCCUAUUUGAAAAUGGUAAAGUGAAAAAUUGUUCUGGAAGUUUGUAAGACAGUAAGGCCUAUGAAAUUUUGUUGAAAAUAGCAGGAGUAGUUGGAGUAGUGAUCAGGCUAGGACUCCCCCUUAGGACAUCUUUUCUCCAAGCCACAGCUAAGACACUGAGAAAUCGGAAGUCCCCAUAUUGACUAUGAAAUCUGUCUUUCAAAUCGGUAGAGCGCCCCUUUUUGAUUUUUUCUUUUUUAAAAUUCAUGAAAACCAGUAAGAAUGCAGCUCUAUUGUGGAUUUAGGUUGAUGUCCAAAUCAGAUGAGGAUCAAAUGAGAUUCUUUAAUUAUUUAUGUUUACGUUCUUGGCAAGUUCUCAUCAUUUGCUUUUUGCAGCCCACUUCCCAAGCCACUUGUAUGUACACUGGUCAUCCAAGCUCCUGGCCAUGGUUGAAAAACUUGUGUUUUUGGAGAAUGGGCUGCUUUCAGUGAUGGUUAAUUAGGCCGCUUUGGGAUGGGCCACUCUUGGUAAGUUUUAGGUAUUGUUUCCCUGUGACCCUCUUUCUGCAAUCAAAUUAACAUAAUUCAGAACAAAUUAAGACACCAAUUUUUAUAUGGAAAACUUCCAAUGUGACAAAAAUCAAUGAGUUGUAAUAGGGUACAACAAGUACUUCUCUAGUAAAUUAGUCAUUGAAAACUCAACCAAAAAUGGAUUUCAACAAGUAUCAUCAAAAUUAAAAGUUUCAAUCUCAUAAAAAUAUAAGCAAUGAAAUAGAGAGAACAACAAUACAAAUUGGUAAAAACGUAACUUAACAUGCAUUCUUCGUAAAAGAAAAACUCAUAAAACUCUUCUUUCUUCUCUCUCUCUCUCUUUCUUUCUCUCUCCCUUCCUCUUGUUCUUGGGUGCCAACAAUGAUGAAAAAAUUGGAUAUUAUUGCCGAAAUAUCGAUGAUAUUUUGGAUAUUGGAGGUGGCCGAAAUGACUUUGGCUACCAAUUAUCUUUUCUUUCUCUCUCCCUUCCUCUUGUUCUUGGGUGCCAACAAUGAUGAAAAAAUUGGAUAUUAUUGUCGAAAUAUCGAUGAUAUUUUGGAUAUUGGAGGUGGCCGAAAUGACUUUGGCCACCAAUUAUCAAUAGAGAAGAAUUUUGGCAAAAUCGUCGAAAUAUUGGCUAUAUAUCGAUUUUUGGACAAUAAAUCAACGAAAAACUGGAGCGUGGAGUGACGCGUUAGGCGAGGGCGGUUGCAAAAAUCGCUCUUACAUUCAAUGGUUAGAUUUGAAUUUUUGAUGAUCCAAUGAUCCAGAUUUCACCCAUGUUUUUAUAUUAUCAUUUUAUUUUAUAUUUUCCUUUUAUUUUUAUCACUUUUCAUAUUUAUCUCAUUAAUCCUAUUUUUAAAAAUUAUUAUCACUUCACUCUUAUUUUUUUUUUAUAUUAUCCUUCCAAAUUUAUUUAAUUUUAAAUGUUUUUAUUUUAAAAUAUUAAAAUUAUAAUUUUACCCAAAAAAUUGCUACAAUAUAAAAAAUUAAGAAAGUUAUAAUAUUUUAUAAAUUAAAAUUAAUUUGAUAAGAUAAAUCAUUAAUAAUUUUAAUUAUUUAAAUAAAUUAAUGUUAAUAGAAAAAGUUGUUACCACAUAUUUUUAAUAAAAUUUUAGAAAUUAAAUCUCAAAUAAAAUAUUUUAUAUAAAAUAAUUUAAUUUUUCAUUUAAAAUGUAAUAAAACAUGUUUUAAUAAAAGUAUUUUAAAAUUUUUAAAAUAAAUAUUGUCUUCAAUAAGAUGGACUCCCUUCAUCUUAUAAUAUGAUGGAACCACAUCGAUCUUCAUUUUGGUACUAAGGACUAUUACAAUGUCAUAUGUAUUAUAUUUAUGUAUAAAUUGUUCUUAUUUAAUAAAAUCAAAUAUUUCUUAACUCAAUUAUAACUUUCUAAGUGUACACUUCCAAAAUUCAUAUUUAUUAUUAUUAAAAUCCAAGUAUCGAAUCUAUCGAUAUAUCUCUGCUUAUCGAUAUUUUUCUUCUUGACCACAUCUAUUUCAAUUAUUUUUACAAAAUAACUUCAAAAUGUGUAUUCUUGCUUAUUUUAUCAUUUUUUUUGGAGUUUUUCCAAGCAUUCCUAUGAAUUUUGAAUAAUUUUCGCUCCAUCGAUAUUUGUGAAAAAAUAUCCACCGAAAUUUCUUCGAUAUUUUUGAUGUAUCUUUAAAAUUGAAGUACCGAUAUAUCCGUGAUUACCGAUAUUUUCAUUAUUGGGUGCCGCACAACACAUUCUUUUUAUUUUUUUGUUUCUAUUUUAUUACCUAUUUUUAUUGAGUGAGUGGGUCCCUCCACUUCCAUAUGGAAAGGGACCACACCUAAAAAUUUCCCACUCGUAACUCAUAUGGGGGAAGUCUCCCCCAUACUUGCAACAAUUCCACAAACAAGCUUUUCUUUAAGCAAUCUUUUGACCAUUAUAUCUAAGCCAUCAUCAUC